rnacentral:lncRNA from 1 species
AAUUUGUUGACUUCAACAAAUUUGCACCAACAAUUUGUUGACUUUAACAGAUACAUGGUAGCCAAGUUGGUCAAGUUACCCAAAGAAGGAGGGAUUGAGCCACUUAAGCGAUUCUCGAACAGGUGAAAGGCCUUGAGAUAACUUAGGUGGCCAAUUUGUGGUGGUAUUCUUCCAAAAAAUUGAUUAGUGGAUAAAUAAAGGAUCUUGAGCAUAGAAAGGUUACCAAUUUGAGGUGGGAUGGUUCCAGAAAACGAAUUGGAUGAUAAAUCAAGGUACUUGAGUUUUGAAUUGUUAGCAAUUUGAGGAGGGAUGAUUCCAAAAAUUUGGUUGACUCUAAGAUCAAGAUACGCAAGAUGAGGAAACGAUGAGAAUGAGAAAUCAUGAAGCGUACCUAUUAAACCUGCGCUUGUGAGGUUAAUACUAUUGACUUUUCCAGAAUGGUUGCAAUGAAUUCCAAACCAAGCACACGAGCUUAUUUUGGUGGCAUUAUUAAGAGUCCAUGAAGGCAGGAAAGAUCCUUUAUUAUUAUGAUUUUGAAGGCCAGUUUUCCAUUUGAGAAGAGCGUGGGCUUCUUCCGUAGAAUUUGAAGAAACAAUAAGUGGAAAAUCUAAGGCAGGAAAUAGGAUGAGGAAAAUGAGUGAGAAAAUUCCGAAUUCAUUUUUCAAGUUUGGUAACACCAUUGCGUGAUGGGAGAUCAACUGAGACUCGAUAAUUAUAGAAACAGAAGAGAACAAUUAAAGAUGAGAACAACAAGAAUUAAAGAUUAGCUAGACAAGGCAGAUAGAAAUAAACAUCCAGGAAUGAUAGAUGUACAAAGAAACACACCGAAAGCCAAAUUUAUAGUAACUAUAUACACAAGAGAGCAAAUGAGUUAAUAGAAUCAAUGAUGUGGGCCAACAAGUCAACGCGUCAGCCCCUCUAUAAUAGACUAGUCGUUGUUAAGGAAAAAUGAUAGGUUUUCAUUAAUUUGUUAGUGAUCUGUCAAUUGAGGCCACAUUAAUUGUAUGUAUAUGCUUCUUCUGUAAUGCACGGCAAACAAGUUAUCCACGGGAGGUGGAAAAGUCAAUGCAUGGCAUCAUGUGUUAAGACUUCUAAAGUAGGCUAGCCAGCUACAUUAAUUGGACCAUAUGUGUUGCCAUUUAGAUUUUAUAUAUCUUAACUAAUUAAAUGGGACUAAAUAACGCCUUUCUGUCUAAUCAGACCUUUAAUUAUAUGCUUCUUUUAGCUUUGAUGGAUACCUACCAGGAUUAUGAACCGUCACGGUAUCAAAUUCCAAAUGUCAACCUCAGUUGAUUUAAAAAAUCAAUGCACGAGGAUUGACGAAGAAAUUAAAUACUGGUUACGUAUGUUAAAUUAAUUCUUUUGUAGCAAGGGAGUGAUGUAAAAAAAAUAAAAUUUGAGUAGUGCUAUAUAUUUUAAAUUUUUUAUUUUAAAAAAUUAUCUUAAAUUAUGUAGUACUUAUCAAUUGAUUGAUAGGAAAUAUAAUUAAUUUAUUUGGUUCUUGUAAAGAAUUAUUAGCUAUUUAAUGAAUAACACAUUAUUUAAGAUGAAAUUUAAAAUAUUUAUCAUUAUUUGAAAAAAAUUCUAUUUCAUCCGAAAUUAAAUCAAAAAGUGAAUUUUUAUAAAAAUACAAGAUAGUUAAGUUGGUCAAAUUAGGAAGUGGAAUUGGGGCAUUGAGUUUAUCCUUCCAAGCCACUAUGUGAAGUGUUGAAUCCUAAAACUGGGAUAUCUCCUCGAGUUCAGAUUCAUGGUUGGAUCGGCAAGCUUCUCUAUACGAUUCAAAAUAUUUGACAUUUAAGGGGUAAAAAAAAACUCGGUUAAUAUCAAAGGUACAAAUCAAUCAAUUUACUUAUAAGAAUCCUAUCCGAUAGGCCAUAUCAGUCGAUGACGUCGCCAAUAAUAAUUACAUUGACAAUUUGUCUCUGCUCCUUUCUCAUACAGAUGAACGAGGGUAAAACUUCAAAUCUUUUAAUCUUUCGUUUUUGGUUUUAUUAUUGCAUAAUUUUUAAAUUUUCUCCUAAUCUUGUUUCAAAUUAAUGAAAGUUUAAAAUUUUUGCUAUACUGAUCUGGAGAGCUUAGUUAAUGUACAAUUUGUAUGAUGACAGCACAUGAUCCUUUGAUAUUUAUUAAGCUAAAAUUUUCGGCUUAAUGUUCACAAGAAUAUAUCUUAAUUUGUUAGAUUUUUAUUUGAAGCUGGUUCAGGUGUUCAGGUAGACCAGUUAGUUUAAGUAGCUGAUUUGGAACUUACUCAUGGACAAGUAGCUGAUUUUAUUGUUAGAUCCUUACUCUUCUAUCAAUUCUUAAACUUAGGCAGUGCUCAAUUUCGGGACAGAACUUGUCACUGUAGUUUAUUCUUUUGGAAAAGUCAAGGAACUGUAUUCGGGACGAUGUUUUGCCUGCUAAAGAUUCUAUUAAGUUUUUCAUCAUUUGGUUUAUAUGAAGAUGGAAAACGGACUCUUUCUUUCAUACAUUAUUCUUUUGUUAGAAAAGAAAAAAAUCACAAAUUUGAAUGAAAUAUUGCUCUAUGCUUCGUGGUUGCGGGCUAGCUGAUGCUAUUUGCCUUUUAAAUAGAGUCAACUCGCAAAAUUUUUUCCACAAACAUUCAUGGGUGAAAUCGACCUCUGUUUUUCUGGAUCCUGACUAGCAAAAUUGUUUACUGGGCAUUUGUCUCUCGAAAGAUUAUAUCUGUGUUAGUAAAUCGAGAAAUCAAAGCAACACACUGUAGUUUAACUAUAAGCUAAUAAAGUGGUCGCUUAAAGUCCCAUAUUUUGUGAAUGCCUCUUUUUUUAGUAAUUGGUUGAUAAUUUUUUAAUUAAUAAAGAUUUUUUUUUAAUUAUGUAUUGUAAGAAAGCCUAUUAAACAUCUUUAUAUUUAAUAAUAAUACUACAAUUAAGAAUCAUUGUUUAAUAGAAAAUCAAUAUUUGGUAAACUUAGUGUUAAGAAAUAUGAUUAAUAAUGUUGUCUAACUAUUAGUUAAUUCAUUAUUAUUCUUUCCAAGGAAAAAAAUUAGGUUCUUUACCUUUUCAAUUUCCUAAAAAAAAAAUUUAUUAUUUAACGUAAGAAUCAUUGACUUUUAGUAUUCCUUUUAAUUUUUAUUAAAAAUCUUACAAUCUCAAAAAUCAACAGAUAAAAAAAAAUUCUUACUUCUUUCUCUAUAAAGAAAGUUAUUAAAUUCACUAGUUCAUUUAAAAAGAAAAAAUUAAUUUCUUAAAACAGAAAGUCAAUAUCUAUUAUUUGAUCAUCAACUGAUCAUCUCAACUUUUUAUGUGUUACUAUUCUAAAUAUUAUAUUUGAAAUUAAUAUUAGUCAUAUUUAUUUGUUUGUUUAUUUUUGUAAUGAUUCUAAUUAAAGUAAAAAAGAAUCUUGUUGAUUUUUUUUUACGAUUUUGAACGUAUAGAAGACAUUUCUAUUUUUUCUCGGAAAAUAUUUUGAAUUACUAUUACCACUGCUUAACUUUCAAUUUGCCUCUGACCAUCAAAUCAAAUGUGAACGACCCUUUUAAUUUGUUUAAAUUCAAGAAUUAAAGAUGGAAUUAAUUUUGAAUCUUUUUAUGCUUAUUUAAAUAUUAAAAUUACAUAAUAAAAAGAGGGCUAUAAUAAAACUUCGCCUAAGACGCCAAAAACUCUAAAACUGGCCCGCUAAACUUUGCAAGCAACAUUAAUUGGUCUGUUUGUGUUGGCAUUCAGAUUUUACAUAUCUUAACUAAUUAAUGGGGACUGAAUAUUACUUUUCUAUCCAAUCAGGCCUUUAAUUGCAUGCUUCUUCUAGCUUCAGCGGAUAUCUACCAAGAAUGUAAAUCGUCACGGUAUUAAUUCCAAAAUGUCAAUGUAUCAUUUGUAGAAUUUAAAAAAACUGUUCUUUCAAGAUAACUAUUUUAUAUUUUCAAUUACCAGCAAAGCGUCACGUAUGCACCCAAUAUCAUCCCGUGCAAACUCUUGAAAAAUCAGUGCAUCAUUGAGAUAAAUAUUUGACUCAGCUGUAAGAAUCCCAAUCACUAUUAUAAAUAAUUACAUAAAAUAUGAAAAUUUUGCAUAACACGUAUCAUGUCCUUUGUCUUACAUUGAUAAUUGAUUCUAAUGACUAAAUUUUGGUAUUAAAGUAGCAUUAGCUAUAGGUAAUCAUUGUACAAGAUUUUUUAACUUUCAAGAUCUUUUAUUGAUAAUUAGAAUAUUAAAAAAUUAAAUUUUAAUGUGGGAUUAUAAUUGAAUAGUAUCCUGUAAAUAGUGCAUAUAUGUAGUCUUAUGAAAAAAGGAACAAGUAUUAACUGAUAAAACAGAAAAAAAAACAAAGUAAUAAAUUAAUCAAUUAAUUUUCCACUAUUAUCUUUCCUUUUGUGUACGUAGUUAAUGAAUUUUUUUUAAAACAAAAAGAAAUUUAAAAUCACUCUUAUUAUCAUUCAAUUAUAAUGUGGCUCGAAGCCUCAAAGUUCAUCUGAGAAAAUUACUAUAAAUUCUCAGCAUAUUGAUCUAUAAUUGGUUUAGACUCUGGAGUCUCGUAUGAGAAAAUUAGUAUAUUAUUUUCCAAAUUUUAGCACAUCAUUGAGACUUGAUAUAGAAACACGGGAAUUUUACAGUAAUAACCAUUAAAGUUUUGAUUUUUUUCAUCUUAACCCCUCAAAAAUAUUUCUAUCAACAUUAGCCAUAAAACAAUUUUUGAGACCAAAAUACCCCUCCUUCAUCUCUCCCCCAAAAAACUUGUUCUGUGGCCAAAAAGCUUGAUUUUUUUUUUAUAAAAAAAAUCUAAUCUUUUGCGGCUUGUUGCAUGAUUUUAAGAUGGAAAAUUUGUCAAGUUGUAUUCUAUCAGCAUUAUUAUUAUUAAUGCUUUCACCUGCAAAUCCAUUGAUAUUCAUUCCCCCUUCCAUAAUCUUCGUGCCCAAAUUGCUUCUAACUUUUCUCGACUUCGACGCGGGUGAGAGAUUGCUUUUCCUUUCACCUUUUUGUUUUCUUCCGUUUAGCUUCAUUAUUUAAAAAAAAAAAAAACCGAAACAGAACAGAAACAAAAGCUUCAGCCCGCGGCCACCGUCCAAGGCUGCCGGCUCUCGUUUUCCGUCACCGAUCCGGAUGCAACCACCACUAAAGGGAUCAUAAAUCGCCGGCCAUCAAACCCCAAGCAUCGGACACCGUUGAUUAGCCACAGAUCGCCGGAAAAACAACCAAAACAGCCGCGCCAACCGUGCCGUCAUUCACCGGUUUCCGCCGCGAUUUAGCCAGCACCACCGUAAUCAAUCCACUCCUCUCCACGAGCUCAACCUCUUUCGUUAUUCCCCACCUCCGAUCGACCAACCCAUCGCCGGAAUCUAAGCAUCACCAAACAGUUACAACUUAUCUCAAAUUUCCGGCCAAAACGCCACCGUUUCCGACGAAUCACAAACAUCAUCAUGAACAACUUCAAAACUUGGUGCGACAGGCACCUGUCGCACCAAAACUUGUUGCGACAGGCACCCUGUCACCAGAUUCAUCCCCCGACUCAGAUCAAUAAGUUUGAAAAUAACUCAUGCCACGAUGCCGAUUAGUUUUGGUCUGUAAAGAAGGGUAAUUUGGGGAGAAAGGCUUGUGUUUGGCUAAUGUUGAUAGAAAAAAGUUCAGAGGAUUAGUUGCAAAAAUAAUAAAAUAUUUAUGGUUAUUUUCGUAAAUUUCCCUAGAAACAUUAGAAAACAAUUAAAGAUAAGAACACCAAUAAGAAAGUUUAGCCAAAUUUAUAGAAAUACACAAGAAAGCAAAUGAAUGUAGUCAAGCUUGCAAGAGGUCAAUUAGUCAAUGCGUCAACACCUCUACAUUACAUCAAAUAUUUUAAGAUAUCCAUUUUCCAGCACUGGAUCAAAAUUUCUCAGUCAAGAAAUAAAAGAGGAUUGACCAAGAAAAUUGGGAUUGUACUGAUUGAUUGAACCAACAAAAUUUCAAUCUCUAUCCCUACCAAACGCACUAACAAAUUUUCGAUUUCAAUCGGAAUCGGUCUACACCUACCAUACGCACCAAAUGCCUGAUGGGAUGGUUCAUCACAAUUUUUCCCAAGCCACUUCUAUUGCAGUAACUGGUAGGCCCAGUAGUUAUACUUUUUUCUGGGCGCUGGACAUGUCGAGAGCAAGCUCGUUAUUGCUCGUCUCCCCCAAAACAAAUUAUGUCUAAUCUCACUUUUUUACGGGCAGAGAAAAUUCCAUUUAGUGUGAGCUCCUUAUUAGUAACUUUCCAAUGUAUGUUCCUUUUAGAGAUGUAUAUAUGAAUGUUAGGAUGAUUAAUUGAUUAUUGAAUAGGUUAUUUGCCAUACAUGCUCCAUAAUGGUGGGUUUUGUGGAUAACAAAUGUGUAGAGCAUCUAGUAUAUGAAAUGAAGGUAUUAUAAGGUGUAUUUUUUGCCAGCCUGAGACUCUUGUUUUUGGUUUUGUUAAUUAGUAAACCCCAAAUUAAAAAGCCCAAUUCAUAAAAGAUUCCAUGGGUAGUGCAUACAUUUUUUUUUUGUCUCUUCUUAUCGGCCUUUUUCCCUCUUCUACUUUUAUGGAUACAAAUUUCAAGGAAUAAGCCCUAACUUUUUUUUUCUCACUCUCUUCAAUUAAUAAACUUUACUCUCCUUUCAAAAAAAAAAAAAAAAAUUUUAAUGCAAUACAACAUAAAUUCUAUUUCCAAAUUUAUUUUUUGCGUCUUUCAAUGCAUUAAUAAUCUUUUUAAUGCAGUGCAAUAUAGUGUAAUCUAAGUUAUUAAACGCACGCUUAAUGUAUACUACUAUAAAAGAAAAUAAUUGGUCCAUAUGUGUUGCCAUUUAGAUUUUAUGUAGCUUAACUCAGAGGGUAGUAAUAGUAUUGUUCUGCGACUUCUGUCGAAUCAGCCCUUGAAUUAUAUAUGCUUUCUUUUUAGCUUCAAUGAAAAUCUAAAAGAUUAUGAAUCGCCGAACAAAAUGGUAACAAGUACACAAAAAUCAUAUUGUUUGAUCUUUUUAAAUUUUUAAUUGUAUUUUUGUCACAAUUUUAUCGCUAUUAUGUUCAAAAAGCAUUUUUCGGAAUAAAAACCACAAAAGAGAUAGCGUCUUCAUUAAGUCAAGAACAUGUUAAAAUGGUUGGAUUUUCCAAUGAAACAAUUGACUGAUUCUCAAAAGUUUUUCUACAACGAUUCUUCAUUCUUGUAUCUAUUUCCCAAAAGAGCUUAAAAAUUAAGUAGUCCUAGAAGAGAAUUAAUUCCGGGAUCAAAUUUAAUGGGCAAAUUGACCUCUGCCUUUUUGGAUUUAUCCUGACUAACUAAUAACUUGUUUACUGGUCUUAAAAAGUUUCUCCUUUAUACAUUUUCCAAAAGAUCUUAAACACUUUUCCGGAUACAUAUAAUUAAUUUUGUGAUCAAAAUUAAUGGGCAAAUUGACCUCUUUUUAUUGGAUCCUGAGUCCUGACUAACUUGUUGAUUUAUAUUUUUUAAAAAAUAAUGUGAACUUGUUAUAAUUAUUUUCUAAAAUUAGGGGCGGUUUACAAAAUUAGUGGAGUGAAAAUAUUCCCACCUUUUGUGAUUUUCCCUUACAACUUUUGCAGUUUUACAUAUCACCCCUGUGCCUUUUCAUACUCAUUUUAGACUUUUGCUUCUAAAAGUUUACUCCUAUGAAUUUUGGCCCUAUUAUAUUUUUCUAGAUCUUCCUAGCUUCCGCGAUAGUUUCAUGUAGGGUAAAUGGUAACAAAAUUCAUGCUCGGAACUUGAUUAUUUUAGGAUUCAAGAUAUUAAUUCAUGUUGUGUUGAGAGUGAUAAUAGUCAGAAAAACCUCUCCAAAGUCAUGUUUUUGGGAUCAAUUAUUUUUGUUAUUAUAAGGAAGCAAUAAAUUAAUAGAGGUGUAGUUACAAAAAUUAAUGUUUUGACUUAAUUAUCCUUAGUGCAAAUGAUAUAAAGGUAACGUGUGCAUGACAUUAAUAAUUAUUUGAAGGAACAUGUCAAAUCUAAUGUAUAUACAUUGAUAAAAGAGAUUAAAAUUAGUGCAUAUGUCUAUGUAGUGUUAUAUGUAGUGUUAUACUAAGUCAUUCUAAAAGUCUAGCGUUUACAUUCUCUUAAAUGUUUUUCUCUUAAUAUAAAUUAUCCCAAACAACUUUAAAAAUAAUAUUUUAUUUCAUUUGAAACCUUUAAUGUAACAUGGCAUAAAGUUUUUGGAAUAUAGAAAUAAUUAUUGUGAUAUGGAGGCUAGUUUCUUAAAAUGUGAUUUAAAAAAACUAUAACUUAUCUUAUUUUGGAGUUUACUCUUAUUUGUAACUAGCCUGAAUUGGGAUAAUAAUUUUUUAUAACUAUAUACAAUUUAUUUGUAUAUAGUGUAUCACUAUAGAGAAAUUUUAAUAUAAAAUGGAAUAAUAUAAAUGUGUAAAUUAACAAAGGAUUUGGCUUCAAUGAUGGUAGAUAAUUUUAUCAGGAGUAAAAGAAAAUAUUAUUAAAAACUAUAGUUAAUGAACUAGACUUCGCAAAUUUUUAUGCGUCACUAAUUGACUAAUUCUUUUCAUCGCGUCUGGACUCUGGAUUCUGAUCUAAGCAUGAGGAAGGACACCUACAAGAUUGACAUCAGUUUAUUCAGAACAUUUCAUUAAUUAAGUUAUUUAUUAAUUGAAAGAUGAAGGUGAAAUUUCUGAAAGAAAAUCUCCUGGAUGCUCCCCUUUGAUUACGUCCAAUGCUAACGCACUGACACUGUGCACAUCGCAUUUUCCAACGACCUUCAUGGUGUGGGCGCGCCAGCUCUGCAAAUUGAAAGAUCAAUAUAUAAAUAUAAUCAUCUUAAUUUGCAGCACCAAGAUAAUUGUUCAAUGUAAUUGAAAAAAACAUCAUGAUAAUGUACGUGAAGAUUCUUUUACUUAGCUUGAUUUAUUUAUUGGCUUAAUAACAAUAUAUAUAGGAAUAUCUUAUAGUUAUAAACUCAAAUAAGCUACAUACCUCCACCUCCAUUUUCCAUCUUCAUCAUUUUGUUUAUAUUAAGACGGAAAACGGACAUUUUUCUUUCAACCGACAUUUCGUUUUGAGUGAAUUUGUUCAUCUGCAUUGUCGUGUCCUGCAUUGAUUUUAAUGUCGUCCACAGCCAACGAGUUAGCCGCAUGCAUGACACGUGAUCUUCAGAAUUAAAACGGCAUGUUUUUGCUGUCGUUUUCGAGUCUCAUAAACUUGCAGCUGCUGAUCACGUGAUUCACGACGGUUAUGGUUGUUGCUUUUGGCGGGAACCAGCUGGCAGCUAACAAGCCCGGAAACAGACUUUCUAAGGCUGAUUCUUGUGUGCAUUUCUUAGAUCUAAUCGUGAGAAUUGAGAGAGAAAUUAUAUUUAUCUUAACUCUUGGAUUCAAUAUAGUGAAAGCUUGAAGCUUGUUUCCUCAGUGGAUGUCCGCACUGUCAAUAGGUGCUGGACCACUUAGUUCUUGUGUAUUUGUCUUUGUUUUGUUUCUGUUCAUUGUCGAUUAUUGAGUGCGUACAUUUCUUGAUCUGUUAAUCUUGCAUCUUGAGGAUAGAAUUAGGUUUUCGGGUGAAUUUAAUCUGAUUUACAAGGGUUGAAUUCACAAUAAUUGUUCUUUUAGUUUUCAUGGUGUUGACCGAUUCGUGCUUGUAAGAAAAGAAAAAAUUACUAAUUUGAAUGAGAUAUUGCUCUAUGCUUCGUGGUUGAAGGCUAGCUGAUGCUUUUUUGCCUUUUUCAAAGUUGGAACAAAAUAUAUAUAUAUAUAUAUAUAUAUAUAUAUUUUAAGGGUAUUGUUUGUUUAAAAUUGAAUUUUUUUCCUUACAUCUACUGUUCCUUAGUCAGUUUAAAUACCUAUAUAUUGUCUUAUGCAUCUUUAUGUUAUUGGCUAUUUGUUCAUUUUUCUGCUAGACGUGUUUCAUAUUUAAUUAAGAAUCUGUUACAGGUUCUUAAUUAUAUGAGAUCUCAAAGACUAAUGGAGGUAGGUCUGUACUUUUCUACUGGCAGUGGCAUCCUAUUUUAUGCUUUGUUUCUUAAAAAUGGUUUUGCAAAAAAUUUUUGGAAGAUAACGUUUACCGUCUGUGCAGUGAACUGAACUUCAGCAAGUACAAAAAGGAAGAUUGGGUGGUUGUAAAAGAAAGUAAUUCUUAAGAAUCUCUCCAUCUUCGACAUUGUAGAAGAAACAAUUUCGGUCAGAAAAUGGGAUCACUUGCAAAGAAAGGAUUGCAACAGUUUUUGACACAGCUUCAGCAACAUGCUUUGAGAAAAAAGUUCCUUUCUUUCUCAACUGUUUCGUUGAUUUGUUUAAUUUCUGCCAUGGAUUUCUUUCUUUUCUUCUGUACUAUUUUCUGUUUGGUGGCUGAGAAAGUUGAAGAAAGCUUGAAUAUUACUCUAUGCAGGCAGUAACUGCUGGAGUGCUGCAAGCAACCAGUGACAUAAUUGCUCAGAAACUCAACGGGCAUUUACGAAACUUCAGCUGAGGAGGCUACUUAAAGUGGUCAGAUUUUUCACAUUGCAUCUCUUCUAUAUUUGAUUUUCUGCCGUAACUCAAGAUAGCUAUAGUAUUCCGUGUUGUUAAUCAUUGCGUUUUGAUUUUUGUGUUUCACUGGAACAUUAGCUUUUAGCAUCUUCCAAUUGGUGAUGGGUGCUCGCAAUUCAUUUUUUCAUUCAUACUCUGAGUUUGGUGAAUGUUUUAUAUUAAGAAUUCAGUCCAUAGUUGCCAAAAUUUAUGUCCUAUUAAGCUUCAACUUUCUCUCUAGCCAUUUUCAAAACUUAUUCAGUUAUCUGCUCUGCAUCAAAUGCAUGCUUUCUCUUUAUACUGUGUAUUUGGUGCUCGUAAUUUUUGUUGACAUAUAUCAUCUCCGCUAUGAGGCUUGGUCAGAGGUUCGCUUCCUACAAAAUAUCUUGAAAAGGGUGACCUACAUUGUGGGAUGGGUAAUCAGAUAAGUCUACUAUCAAUUCCAUGCUCUCUUCCAAAUCCACAUAAAUAUGUAUUCCACACACCUGGUUGCUAGUGCACUUAAAUAUGCGAAUUUAUCUAAAGAGGAGAUACCUUUGUACAGUCUGUUAAGUAGGUAAAUGCCUGGUUUUGUUCAUGACUGCCAAACAUCUGACUAAGGAAAUGUGGCUUCAAAAUCUAGUGAUGCUAAAAUUUGAAGAUGGAAGUACACAACCACCUUCAGCGGAUGACUUGUUUGGUAUUUUGGGUUUGGAUUUUAAGGAUAAGCUACUUAAUGCCAACUGGAAUUAUUUGCUUGCUGAUGAGCAACAUACAGGUGAGGAUAGUACAAUGUCUAUGAAUGCUCCUGAACUGAGUGCUGGUUUCUAUUCAGUUAAAGAAGGAAUAUUACAGAGCAGUUCGUUAUCCGGGAUGGGUACCAACCAUCUUUUCGAAGCUGUGGUCUCUAGGGCUAACUUUGUCUGGAAGCAGAUCUCAGAUGAUAAUGUCUCUUAUAGGACAACAUUGACACAAAUCAGUAGCUCCUCUAUUCCUACUAAUUCUCUUUCCACUGCCCAGGUUAAUUUGUCUGAGUGCAAGCGGAGCUAUUGGCCUUACUAAGUCUUGACGAAGGCAGGGACUGGGGAAUCCAACUCUUUUCAGUCUCGUUGGAGCUAGGAUAAUGGAGGAAAUUGUUCUCAAACUACUUCCAUAUGCGGGUCCCAUAUCAGUUCCUGGGUAGAACAGGGUCAAAGUGUGAAGCGUGACGGUAGUGUCUCGACUACGUAUUCUGAGAAAAAUGAUGAAACAGCUAAAUCAAAUAGCAGAAGACUUAAUCUUGGUGAGAAGAUGAGGGCCCAAAGAUCACCAGAUGAUUCAAGAUCGCGUUAAAGAGUUGCGAGAAAUUUUACCAAACAGGGGAAAAUUAAUUGCAUUUAUUUUCACUAAUUAUCUUAACUUCAUCUGUGUCUUGUCAAUAGUAAUUUAUAUUUUAAUAUUGAUAUUUGUCUUUAUUCCCUUAAUAUGGUUCAACAUUGUAGGAUUGUGUAGCAUAGAGGCACUUCUAGAACGUACCGUCAAGCACAUGCUGUUCUUGCAGAGUAUGACAAAUCACGCUGACAAGCCUAAAACAAACAGGGGAAUCAAAGGCAUAGGGGACGUCUAAUUUUUGUACUUUUACCAUCAUAUUUGGCGUACGAGUUUAAAUUUAUUACAUAAAGUUUUCUCAGCUGGCAGUCAUCAUGCCUGAAAUUGCAUAUAGUCAGCAAGGAACGUGGUUUGCUUUUAAAAGAUAACUUUGAGGAAGGGACAACAUGGGCAUCUGAGUUGAGGAUCUGAAUGCACCACGUUAGCUGCUGGUGGAGGUAGUAAAUGGCCUGUUCUUUUGAGUAGAAAUUGUUUGGUUUGAAUAAAUGCUCAUAUCUGUGGGAUUGUUGACAAAUGCUUUGUGGGUAACGGGGUUUCUUUUUGGAAAUAGCUGAGCUAGUCAGGGGAUUGAGGUACCAUAGGAAUGUUGCUGUAACAGAUGAACUAUAAUAUCCUACUGAACUUAUUCUAAACGUGAGAUGGCCGCCCUGGUUGAGUAGUCAUAACACUCCAUGUUCAAUUACAUGGCCGUUUGAUGAUUUUCACUUAGCAGAAAAUGAAUGAUUUAUACGCAGCUUAUUAGAGCAGUUUAAAUAUGUGAACGUAGGCCAAUUUCUUUAGGGGUUUAUUUCAGAGAAACUGAAAAAAUGCUGUUAGUCCACAUUUUAAAAACUUUCCUUCUUUUCAAAUGGGUAUUUUUAAAAUGCAGGAUGCUGUAUAGUUAUUUUAUUUUAUUUUUAAUGUUUAUAAUAUUUAAACUUUUCUUCUAGCAGGCAUAGACUAGUUAAAUCCCCUUCAAAUAUUAUACAUAAAGUUGUUAUCUAUGAAUAUACUAGCUGCAGUAAGAAUAGGAUUUGGCUUCUGCACGGCGAAGCUAGGGAACUUAAAAUGUUCGACUUUUGUCAAUUUCGUCAAGGAUUAUGUUCUUAGGGCAUGUUUGGUUGGGAGGAGAGAAUGGGGGAGAGGAAAGUAAUUCAAAUUCUAUUUUUAUUUUCAUUGUUUGGUUACACAAAAUAUAUAAGAAUUUAAUUUCCAUUAAAAUUUAAUAUCCCUUAUAAUGUAGAAUUUGAAUUCCACACCUAAAAGUGAAGAAUUUAAAUUCCUUUUAUGUUGAAAACCCAAACUUCCAAAAUUACCCUUCAAUAUUUUAACUUAUUUAAUGUUAUUAAUUAUUAUUAUUAUUUAUAAUUUUAUUUUAUCAAUUUUAUAUUAUAAAUAAUUUUAUAUUAACCAAAUUUAAUGAAUAAUUUAAAAAAUUUAAUAAAAUAAAUAAACUUAUUUAUUUAUUUAAUAUGAAAAUAUGUAAAUAUAAAUUAACUAUCGUUGGGAUUAUUGUCGGAACUUCACCGGAUCAUUGCCGGAACUUCGCCGGACCAUCGCCGGACUACUACUGGCCAACCGGAACUUCGCCGGACCUCCGUCAAAAAGUCACCGGCCACCAUUGACCAGCGGUUGACUUGUGUUGAUCGGAUUUUAAUUAUAUUAAAUAAUAUUUAAUAUUUAAUUAUAUUAAAUAGUUUAGUAUAUUAAAUUAUUUUAUAUUUUAUAUUAAAUAUAAAUCAUGAAUUGUUUUAGAAUUUUUUAAAAUUAAAAAAAGUUUGGUAUUAAUAUUAAAUUACAUUUUAUUACUAAUAUAGGUAAUUUAGUAUUUAAGGCAAAGGAUAAAUUUGUCCAAAAAAAAAUACAAUUCCUUUCCCUAUCAAAUUUUAUGUCAAAGCAAACAAUUAAAUUUAAUUUCACUAUUCUCUUCUACUCCUCUCUUCUCCUUUUCUCUCCAUUCCACUCUUUUCCUCUCCUCUCCUUUCUUAAAACCAAACACCACUUUAAGGUUUAAAAGAACAGGCCUUUUGUUUAUGGAAAAAACCUACCUUCAGUUGAAAUGGAAAUAAUUUUUUUGUCGUUCUCCUGAACAUGUAUGCUGCAGUCUACCCUAUCAUAAGUUUGUAACCCAAUAUUAACUUAUACUGUAUGCUUCAAAAAUAAAUUGUAGGCUAUUUGUUUAAACUCCAUUUCGUAUUAGCAAUCUUUGUACAUUCACUUACCGUAUGUUUGGUGAACAGGCUACUGGGAUGUGACAAGGAUGGAAAUAUUUAUGUCACUUGUUCGUCUUUUGGAGCAAACUGUGAAGAGCUGUACCUUGGUAAAUGCCUUGGAUAACGACAAUGUGAUGCUCCAUCACUCUUUUCCCCCAGCCACUUCUAUUGCAGCAACUAGUAGGCCCAGUAGUUUACAGCGAGCCACCAGCUAUUAAUACUUUACUGGGCUGGAUAUGUCAAGAGCUAGCUUGCGCGGCAUCACUUGCCAUGACUGACAUGGUUCCAGUCGGCACUCAGGUGGUUCUAACUAACUCGUUCAUCUCCCCCAAACCAAAUUAUGUCUAAUCUCACUUUUUUAGGGAGGGAAAAUUUCAUUUAGGUAAUUGUGCGAGCUCCUUAAGAACUUUUAAAUGUGUGUUUCUUUCAGAGAUGUAUAUUUAUGUUGGGAAAUUAUACUUUUUAAAAACAUAUGUGUUUAUUUAAUUGUAAUAAAUAAUUUUUCUGAUUAAUAAAAUAAAUGAGGUAUUUUAUUCAAAUAUCUUAAUUGCAUUAAUAUUUAUAUUAAAGUUCAUUUAAUCAUAUUAUAUGUAUUUAUGUGAUCACCAUGUGGAUUCACAGAAGACAUAAAUACAAGUUAUCUUAUGAUUAAAUAAAUUUAGUUCGCAGUUGAUAAAUAAAGUUGGGCACUUUAUUUAGGUAUAGACUGUAAUAAAUUCAUUGAAUGAUUUAUCUUAAUCAUGUAUGAAUUUAUUGAUGUAGUACGACUACAUUGAACAGGAUCACAUAUGAGAUUUAAUUAACUUUGUAAUAACUAUCAGACUUAUUAAAUCUCAUAGGCGUUGAUUUUACUGUAAUCUUAAUCUUAAGUUAAUUAUGAUUUCAUGAUUGUAAUUGUUAUUCCAUUUGAGUUACCAAUGGGCACGACACAUCCUUGUAGUCAAGAUUACCCGGUAUCUUGGUGGGAGCAAUUAUGAGUAUUGGAGUUAUGGAUUAACAAUAUAGAAUUUGUACAACACAUCUCUUGAUGGGUUUUCGGCACUUGAUCAUAGAAUUCUCUGGCCAGAGUGUGUCAACAUAUUUAGUAUGUUGAAAAUGAUCAUUAGAGAAAACCAGUAAGGAUCAAGGAAUAAGAUGUUAUUAAAUUGAUUGGACAGUUGAGAUAUCAAUUUAAUUAACGAUGUGGUACAAAGGAUUGUGCAGUAAAGAAAUCAAUGUGGCUGGGGACGAAUUAUUAUUCGAGCAUACAAUUAUGGAAGUCAGUUCCAAUCUUUUAGUGGAGUAGAUUUGGAAUUAAAUAAUUAGGCUAGUUUAAUUACAGGCCUAAUUGUUAUAGCCACUAUUGUAUGUUCCCAAAUGAUCCCCGGAUCAUUUAGGCUAGUUUAAUUAGAGUAGAUUUGGAAUUAAAUAAUUAGGCUAGUUUAAUUAGCUUAUGUGUAAGGGGCCUUAUGUUAUUUUACAUGGUGGGUCUCCUAUUAAAUAAAAAGUAACGUGAGUUUUAUUUUGGGCAUUAUUUGAAGCCUAGGGUUUUCACUAAAUGGUGAUAUAAAAAGCUUAUUUUUCUCAAAAGAAAGGAGAGAAGCCACUUUAUACAAAUCGGAGAAUAAGAUUUUUCUCUCUAUUGUUCAGAGAAAAAUUUUCUCGUGCUAGUUGCUUUGGUAGUGAUAAAGGCGCCCACACGUCAAGUGCAGAUCGAACCUGAGUCAUAACCUAGAAGAUCAUUGGUGACAGUUCGUGAUCUAACAAGCGUGGUGGUGACGGAUCGUGAUCUAACAGGAGUGGUGGUGGCAGAUCGUGAUCUAGGAGCCUAAAUCAUUUCAGCGGAAAAAGCCAACUCGGAUUUUCAAGGUACGAUUUCUAGAAUACAAAUUCUUAUAUAUUAUAUGAGAGCGAUCUUCAAAAGGUUUUAUAAAAAUUUUAAAAACCUCAUUUUUCCCCAACAAUUGGUAUCAGAGCCAUCUCAUAUUAAUAUAUAAGAAUUUCGUAUGAAAUUAAUCUUGAAAUUAUGUAUUAGAGUGGCACAAUUUAUUCAGAUAUAUUUUAUUUGUUUAAUAUAUGAAUAAAGCAUGUUUUGGUUUGUCUUAAUUCAUGGUUAGAUUUUUUGUUGUAUUUUUCUUUGGAUCUAUAACAAGAGUGAUUUUUUAUCAUCAUGUUUCUCUCUUGAUUUUUUCACUGUUAUAAGAUUUUUGUAAGCCAAAAAUUGGCCUAGGAAAUUUGUAAAUCAACGGAUAAUAAUCACGGAUGUCAGAUCAGAGGAAACGGAGGCCGGAAAUUUCAGAAGCAUGCUGCCAGCAGCCACGACCAACAGCAGCGCGCGCGGCCCGCGUGGGCAGCAGCGUGCGCGGCUCGCGUGGACAGCAGCGCACGCUGCACGCCCAACAGUUGCCGCAUGCGCGCUGCAAGCGCGCUGCGUGCGCAGUGGCUGGCAGCUGCAGCACGCGACCAGCAGCUACAGCGUGCAACCAGCAGCGUGAGCAAGGGCUUCCAGUUGCGCUCGCGUCGGUUGAUGUUUUCCGGUGUGACGGCGGCAGCAAAUCGGCGUCGGAGAUGCGUGAACAGUCGCUGCCCUUUGUGGAGAUGGCGGCUGGGGAAGAUGAAAGGAAGAAAAAUAUGAUUUUAGGGUUUCAUAGUUUUUAUUAUGUAGGUCCGUAUGAUUUCAUAAGUUUUUUUUCGGGCAGAAAUGUUUCAAUAUUUUGCAUUUAAAUCCAAAAACAGUUUUGAACUUAAAGAAUCUUAGUUUUAGGCCCAAUUAAUAUUUGGGCUUAAUGGAUUAUAAUGCAUAGAUAAAUUGAACACAUUAAAUCUAUUUUUGGUCUAAAAGUUUUAUUUUAAUAAAAAAAUUUUUUUAAUUAUUUAUUUCUUUUUAAAAUUAAAAAUUGGACCAAUUAUAAAUUUAAAAACCCAAUUUCUCCUAGUCCAUUAACAAAAACAAGAUUAUGGAAGAUGGACAUUGACAAGAAGCCCAAUAAAGAUUAGACUUAGAGUUAAUGUAUUUUUCAUUAUUAGGAAAGCCAUGAAUUAAGAUUAUUUAAUUGUUUUUCUAUAUGUUAUGUUUUGGAUGAUAACAUGUCAUAUAGAAUAGGUAGUGCCACUCUAUGCAUAAUGAUACAUGUCAUUUAUUAAUUAUGAAUUUCAUUAUAUUGUUUGAAAUUUGCCUAUGCUUAAUAAUAUUGGAUAUCAUCUAGAUAAUAUUAUAGGAAGUAUGCAAUUAACAAUAUGUAUGUUUUAAAAGGAAAAACCAAUUUUAAAAUAUUGAGUGGGAGAGGAAAAUUCAAGAUAAUUUUUCCACGGGCUCCAUUGUUAGUUCAAUAAUAAAAUUAUAUAUAUACCUCGACUUCAUGAUACGGUGAUACUCCCUUCGGAGGGUAUAUAUAUUAGAUAUUUUAUUUGAUGAACUUCUUCAAAGAUAAAAUUGAAAUAUUUUUCAAUCGAUUGUUCACCCCAACGGUGACUAUUGAUAUGAAAAAUACGUAGAUUGAAACAAUGGUUAUACACUCAACUAAAGUUUGUUAUUAACCUUCCCAACGAAUCUCUGUUAACAAAUUUAGGCCCAAAGGGAUAACGAUAAUUAUUUAUCAUGUCUCUACAUAAAAGUAAAUAAUCUAAUGGAUAAUUGGGUCUAGUAAGUGUACACAUGACUUCCCCAACGGAUAGCUUGUCAAAGCGGUACUAGAUUAUCGUUACAAUAAAUUAAAAUGCAUUUAUGAUUUUUUACAUUUUUGUCAUUUAUUGUGAAUAUUGUUUGAAAGUAUUUAUGCAUGUCUAUUUUGUUUUUUCAGAAAAUGUCUUCCAUCAACUCAUUAUUAAUUAUUCUUGUUAAAAAUGAACUCACUGGCGAAAAUUAUUUAGAUUGGAAACGCAAUUUAUUUAAUAUUCUCACUGCUAAGGGAAGCAAAUAUGUGUUGACCCAGCCUUGCCCUCAUGAACCAUCGUUAUACGAUUAUAGAAAUCAGAGGGAGCCUUAUGAGAAAUUGUGCGAAGCUAACAAAAUGGCUAAGCGCUAUAUAUUGGCUUCGAUUUCUGUGGCACUGCAUAAGAAACAUCGGAGCAUGGAAACAGCCACUGAAAUUAUGGCUAGUCUUCAUCAGAUGUUUGGGCAAAAUACCUAUUUUGCCAGAGAAGCAGCAUUAAAACGUAUUACGGAUACUAAGAUGGAAGAGAGCACAAAAGUUCGUGAUCAUGUCCUCAAAAUGAUGGACUAUUUGAAUGAGGUAGAGAUUCAUGGUGUUCAAAUCAAUGAUAAAUCAAAGAUUAACAUGGUAAUUGAAUCUUUACCUGAUACAUUCAAAGAGUUUAAGGUCGGCUAUAUCUUAAACAAUAAAGAUAUGACCUUAAUUGAAUUAAUGCACGAACUACAUGCUAUAGAAGAAUUUUAUCAUAGCAGAAAACUUCCUGAAAAAUGAUUCUCUUCAAGGCUUAAGUCGAAAGACAAGAAUGAGCAAGCAAAAGUUGAGUUCGACAAAUUGUCCACUAAAAGAAGUGGCAAGUGCUACAAAUGUGGACAGAAGGGUCACUGGAAGAAAGAUUGUCCUAAGAUUAUUAAAAUCAAGUAUAGGAAAUCUUUAAGCUUCCUAAUUAGUUCAGAUUUCUAUUGAUUCAUACAAUAAUGAAUUCUGAGAUAACUAAUCUUAUUUGUAAUUCAUUUAUUUGGUUUUCAGGAAACCAAGAGAUUAAGUGAAGAAAGCUUCAAAUAGCAGUUGAGGACAUGCUAGUUUAUAUCAAUUGAAAGGCUAGAUCAAUUUUACAAGACUUAAAGUUUUGAUAUUUGUCUUUAUUUUUCCAAAUAUUAGAGGAAUAUUAAUUUCGGUGACUUGUUUUAAUAAACAGGAGUGCACUGUUAUUUUUUGAUCCUCUAUUUAUUAUUUAUUUUGGUUAUUUAUAAAGACAAUUUAUAUCAUAUAAGUCCAUUGAUCUAUUCAAAGUAAGAUAUAAUGAUAAAGAGUAUAUGCAUUUAUCUAAGAAAAGAAAUGUUUCUUCAAACCAAAAUUACCUCUGAUAUUUAUGCUCAAGUCAUAUAAACUAUAAUAAGAUUUUAAGAAAAUGAUUAAUGAUAGACUUGUUGGCCUAUUAAGAUUGAUCAUUGUAACUCUAUAAAUCUUAUUUAGAAAAGUAAUAUGACAAGGAUGCUCUUUUUGAGCUAAAAGCAUAACAUUGUAUUUGAUGAUUUAGCGCAUACAAAUGUAUACGGACUAAUCAGUUUACAUGUUAUAAGAGGUUAUGAGUAUUCUAUCAAUCUUGUUGAUGAAUAUUCAUUUUAUUUAUGUUUGUCCAAAUGCGUCAUCAUUCCAUUGCUUUUGAAAUUCAAAAGAGUACGUGGAUAAGACAGAAGCAAUUAGACAGGAACAUAAAAGAACUUCGAUAUGAUCGAAACAAAGAAUAUCUCUAUGGAGAAUUCAAGCACUAUUUGGUUGUCAAUGAACACUAUGAUACAAUAAUGUAAUUAAAUGGAGAAACAAGAUUCUUUUGGAUAAGACAAGAUAUAUACUAAGUGGUUUAUCAUUUACCUUUUUUAUUCCAGAUACUAGUAUUUGAAACUACAAAGUUUAUUGAACUUAGUUUCAUCUAUCUCGGUGUCUACUACUCCAAGAUAUUAUGAAAAAGUCACAAACAUGGUUUGAGACACAUUCGUAUUUGGAGUUUACUAGUAUUUCUACUAGAAUCAGAGAUAGAGAAGAUGGAUUCGUGUUCAGAAGCUUGCAUGUUUUAGGUAUCAAAAAUGAAUAAGGGAAAGUCUGAAUUAUAGUCCUCAAGAUAGGAAUGUAUUUAUAGAAAUAUUCUUUACUUUCUUUGAGGAAGACUAUAUAAUGACUUAUAACCUAAGAGUAAGGUAAAACUAGAGAAAUAAAAGAGAUCAGGUUGAUGCUCAGCUUUCAACACCUGUUAUAGAACAGGAAGAACAGCAAUAACCAGCUGAUCAGCACAGGAUUAUCCUUGAACAACCAUCACUUUUAGAACCUAGUCGUAGUGGGAGGGUAACUAGGUUACCUGCGAGAUACAUGUUUUUGGGAGAAACCUAUAUGGCUAUCUCAGAUGAACAUGUACAAGAUCCCACUAGUUACAACGAAUCUCUAAUAGAUAGAGAUGUUAAAUUUUGGAAAAAAGCCAUGAAUCAAGAAAUUGAAUCUAUGUAUUCCAAUAAAGUCUGAGAACUUGUAAAGACACCAAAUGGGGUAAAACCUAUAGGGUGCAAGUGGAUCUACAAGAGAAAAAGAGGAGUAGACGGAAGGGUGGAAACAUUUAAAGCAAGAUUAGUAGCCGAAGGGUUUACUCAGAAAGAAGGAAUCGAUUAUGAGGAAACCUUUUCUCCGGUUGCUAUGCUUAAAUCCAUCAGGAUUCUGCUCUCUAUUGCUGCAGUGCUAGAUUAUGAAAUUUGGCAAAUGGAUGUCAAGACUGCCUUUCUUAACGGGCAUCUUGAAGAAAACAUCCACAUACAGCAACCAGAUGGAUUUAUACAAAAAGGCCAAGAACACAUGGUAUGUAAGUUGCAGAGAUCCAUUAAUGGAUUGAAGCAAGCAUCCCGGUCAUGGAACAUCAGAUUUGAUCAAGCGAUUAAAUCACUUGGAUUCAUUCAGAACAUUGAUGAACCAUGUGUGUACAAGAAAAUUCAGGGAAAAUUUGUAGCCUUCCUAGUUCUUUGUGUAGACAAUAUUCUCCUGAUUGGAAACGAUAUAGGAGUAUUGACUACAAUAAAGAUUUGGUUAGCAAAACAAUUUGAUAUGAAAGACCUGAGAGAGACAAGUUAUAUUCUUGGUAUCAAGUUACUACGAGACCGGAAGAAUAAAACUUUAGCCUUGUCUCAAGCGGUCUAUAUCGAUAAGAUAUUGGCUAGAUUUAGCAUGGAAAAUUCCAAGACUGGUUUAUUACCAUUCAGACAUGGAAUUACAUUCUCUAAGGAUCAAUCACCUAAAACAUCUGAAGAGAUAGAGAGAAUGAGACGAGUUCCCUAUGCAGAAGCUGUGGGAAGUCUCAUGUAUGCCAUGCUUUGCACUAGGCCAGACAUCUGUUUUGCGGUAGGGAUGGUUAGCAGAUAUCAAUUUAAUCCUGGACCUCAAUACUGGACUGCAGUCAAGCAUAUUAUAAAGUAUCUGAAAAGAACUAAAAAUUAUAUGCUUGUGUAUUCUGGUGAUGAACUUAUUCUGGUGGGUUAUACUGAUUCUGACUUUAUGUCAGAUAAGAAUUCCAGAAAAUCAACUUCCGGCUAUGUGUGUACAUUGGGAAGUGGAGCUAUUAGCUGGAUGAGUGUGAAACAAUCUUGUAUCACAGACUCAACAACUAAAGUUGAAUAUGUGGCUACAUCUGAAGCUGCAAAAGAGGCUAUAUGGCUCCGCAAGUUCCUACGAAAUCUUGAGGUGGUACCUGUUGUAACUGCACCCCUUAAACUAUUAUGUGAUAAUGGUGGUGAGGUAGCUCAAUCUAAGGAACCAAGGAAUCGCAAGAAACAAAACAUAUUGAAAGGAAGUAUCAUUUUAUAAGGGAAUAGUGUAGAAAUGUUAUAUGACAGUACCCCAAAUGGCAUUAGAUACUAAAUGGCAGAUCUUAUUACAAUGGCCAUUAGUGGGAAACCUUUAUAACCUGCACUUAGAGCCCUAGAGCAUGUGCAAUAUGCCAGAUAUGCUUUGAGAGCUAGUGGGAGAUUGUUGGGAAAUUAUGCUCUUUAAAAGCAUAUGUGUUUAUUUAAUUGUAAUAAAUAAUUUUUCUGAUUAAUAAAAUAAAUGAGGUAUUUUAUUCAAAUAUCUUAAUUGCAUUAAUAUUUGUAUUAAAGUCCAUUUAAUCAUAUUAUAUGUAUUUAUGUGAUCACCAUGUGGAUUCACAGAAGACAUAAAUACAAGUUAUCUCACAGAAGACAUAAAUACAAGUUAUCUUAUGAUUAAAUAAAUUUAGUUCGCAGUUGAUAAAUAAAGUUGGGCACUUUAUUUAGGUAUAGACUGUAAUAAAUUCAUUGAAUGAUUUGUCUUAAUCAUGUAUGAAUUUAUUGAUGUAGUACGACUACAUUGAACAGGAUCACAUAUGAUAUUUAAUUAACUUUGUAAUAACUGUCAGACUUAUUAAAUCUCAUAGGCGUUGAUUUUACUGUAAUCUUAAUCUUGAGUUAAUUAUGAUUUCAUGAUUGUAAUUGUUAUUCCAUUUGAGUUACCAAUGGGCACGACACAUCCUUGUAGUCAAGAUUACCCGGUAUCUUGGUGGGAGCAAUUAUGAGUAUUGGAGUUAUGGAUUAACAAUAUAGAAUUUGUACAACACAUCUCUUGAUGGGUUUUCGGCACUUGAUCAUAGAAUUCUCUGGCCAGAGUGUGUCAACAUAUUUAGUAUGUUGAAAAUGAUCAUUAGAGAAAACCAGUAAGGAUCAAAGAAUAAGAUGUUAUUAAAUUGAUUGGACAGUUGAGAUAUCAAUUUAAUUAACGAUGUGGUACAAAGGAUUGUGCAGUAAAGAAAUCAAUGUGGCUGGGGACGAAUUAUUAUUCGAGCAUACAAUUAUGGAAGUCAGUUCCAAUCUUUUAGUGGAGUAGAUUUGGAAUUAAAUAAUUAGGCUAGUUUAAUUACAGGCCUAAUUGUUAUAGCCACUAUUGUAUGUUCCCAAAUGAUCCCCGGGUUAGCUCAUUUAAUUGACUUCACCACUACUGGACUAAUAAGCAAGAUAACUAGCUAUUUGGGUCAAAAGCCUAAAUAUAUCAUUUAGUGAGAGGCUCCAUUUAAUUAGCUUAUGUGUAAGGGGCCUUAUGUUAUUUUACAUGGUGGGUCCCCUAUUAAAUAAAAAGUAACGUGAGUUUUAUUUUGGGCAUUAUUUGAAGCCUAGGGUUUUCACUAAAGGGUGAUAUAAAAGGCUUAUUUUUCUCAAAAGAAAGGAGAGAAGCCACUUUAUACAAAUCGGAGAAUAAGAUUUUUCUCUCUAUUGUUCAGAGAAAAAUUUUCUCGUGCUAGUUGCUUUGGUAGUGAUAAAGGCGCCCACACGUCAAGUGCAGAUCGAACCUGAGUCAUAACCUGGAAGAUCAUUGGUGACAUUCGUGAUCUAACAAGCGUGGUGGUGACGGAUCGUGAUCUAACAGGAGUGGUGGUGGCGGAUCGUGAUCUAGCAGCCUAAAUCAUUUCAGCGGAAAAAGCCAACUCGGAUUUUCAAGGUACGAUUUCUAGAAUACAAAUUCUUAUAUAUUAUAUGAGAGCGAUCUUCAAAAGGUUUUAUAAAAAUUUUAAAAACCUCAUUUUUCCCCAACAAUCUAAAUGUUAUCUAAUGCUUUCUUAAAUUAUUUAGCUCUGAAAAAUGAUCAUUGAAGAGGUUAUUCUUAAGUGCUAAGUUUACAGGCAGAGAGGGGUUUUGUAGUUAAAAAAUGUAGAGAGCAUAUGUCUGGGAUAUGAAAUGAAGGUAUUGAGGUGUUCUGUUUUCUUAAUUGGUAUUUUCUAAAAUCGAUAAUGGUGAAAUGGGGCUGAAAAAUGAGAUUAUCUGGCAUCCUGCUCUGACGCAUAAGUCAGUAGGCUGAUUUGGUGAGUUUGAUGGUUGUAAUUGCGUGCUUGCCGCAAAUGUUUCACCCCUUAGCUUAUAAAUCUGGAUUGGUGACUAGAAGUUGUGUCUUUAGGGGUGCGGGGUUCGUAUACUCCGAAGCUUUAGGGUCAAGCAGACAUUAUGUUUUUAACUUGUCAACUGCAGUAUUCGUGUUUGAAAUCAUCUUUGUUACCUUAACCUCCCCUCUCCAAGAUUCUAAGCUUGCCUUCCUUUGACUGAUUCAAUUGUGCACCUCAAUACCAAUCAAUCGGCACUCAGGUGGUUCUAACUAACUUGUUUAUCUCCCCCAAACCAAAUUAUGACUAAUCUCGCUUUUUAAGGGAGGGAAAAUUUCAUUUAGGUGGUUGUGUGAGCUCCUUAAUUAAGAACUUUUAAAUGUAUGUUUCUUUCAGAGAUGUAUAUCUGAAUGUUAUCUAAUGUUUUCUUAAAUUAUUUAUCUGUGAAAAAUGAUCAUUGCAGAGGUUAUUUUUAAGUGCUAGGUUUACAGGCAGAGAGGGGUUGCAUAAUAGUUGGUUUUGUUGUUAAAAAAUGUAAAAGCAUAUGUCUGGGAUAUGAAAUGAAGGUAUUGAUGUUUUCUGUUUUCUUAAUUGGUAUUUUCUUGGAUUACGGAUUUCAAUUCUAUAGCAUGACUACUGUAAUCGUGUGUUUCUUCAUUUCUCAUUUUGCUUUCGUUAUAUUUCUCAAAUUUUUUGUCAUUCCUCCCAAAUUGUGACGUUUAAUGGAUAAGUUAGGAUCAUUAUUAGACAACCUAGGACGUGUAAUAAAAAAAUUUGAAAAUAUUGUUUCAUGUUUGUUAAUAUGUAUCAUGCACUUGAAUUUGCAUCUUGUUAUGGGGCACAUCAUCAUCGAAAAAAGAUACAUCCAGUCAAGGGAACUUACAAGACUUACCCCUUGUCAUCCCAAAAAAAUCUAGAAAACGAAUUAAAAGGGUUAAAUCUUUAACAAUUGAGACACUUUCUGUAUGGUUGGUCUAGAUUCGGGACUCUCAUCUAAGCAUGAAAUGGCGACUUCCAUGAUUGAUAUCAAUUUGUCUUGAACAUUGUGCGAUGGAGUUGGAAGCCGAGGGUCCAACAUUUCAUUGAGUGCUAUUUCCAAGUUCGAAGAUGAAGAGGAAAUUGAGGAAAUGAAAUCUCUUGGAUGUUUCCCCUUUAUCACUUCCAAUGCUAACACCCCAAAGCUGUACACAUCGCACUUUUCCGUAACUUUCAUUGUGUAUGCAAGCUCUGAAACAGAAAAAAAAAAUCGAUUAUAUUUUAUUUUUUAUUUUUACUUGAAAUCUAGUAAGCUGAUACUAGUUAGUUUAUUGUACAAGUUCGAAAUAAUGAUUUACAUACCCGGUGCAACAUAUCCAUAUGUGCCUGCAAGUUCUGCCCAAUUGGAUGAGUCUGGCUUGAGAAACUUGGCAGUUCCAAAAUCCGAAACAUGGGCUUCAUUCUCCAAAUCUAACAACACAUUCUUGCUUGAUAUAUCUCGAUGAACAAUUGGUGGGAAGCAAUCAUUGUGCAUGUAAGACAAUGCAUCAACUACACCUUUUAUCACAUUCAUUCUCUUUGUCCAUCCCAAAUCCUUUGCUGCUGCGUCAUUGCUCAGGAUCAUGGCCAAGCUACCCAUUUCAAGAUAUUCAUAAACUAUAAAUGAGUGUCGGGCAUGUGAACAAAAGCCAUAAAAUUUCACAAUGUUACGAUGUCGUAUCCCUGUUAAUGUCUUAACUUCAUUAAGGAAUUCUUGUUGACUUGCCAUCUCACUUGGGAGUGGUGAAUGAAAUUUCUUGACUGCAACGAUUUCUCCAGAUGGUAACUCAGCCUUGUAAACGCUUCCUUGUCCACCCUUUCCAAUGCAGUGCUCAUCAUCAAAGUCAUUUGUUACUCUAAUGAUUUCUUCGUACACAAUUUUUCCUUCAAAACUUAACACUGAAAGAAAACCCGGAGCAUUUCCAGGGCUACUCUGUUGUGUCUGUGAGCUACUCCUUCGAAACAUAAAGAACAAUCCAAUUAGAGAAAUUAAAAGAGCAAAACUCCCUAAGAGAGGGAAUACAAUAACAACCCAAAUCUUUCUCGAAGCUUGUUUGUGUGACUUGGAUGCUUUACAAGAUGGAAAUCCUUUGAUAUCUCCACACAAGCCUUUGUUCCCUUGUAAUGCUUCCAUCGGAGCAUCUCUAAAUGCGGUGCUAUUAGGAAUUGAUCCAUGUAAUUCGUUGUAGGAUAUGUCAAUAUAUGAAAGACCAUGCAAUUCCUCAAAACAACUUGGAAUGAAGCCAGAGAGGUUAUUGUGGGAGAGAUUCAGCUUCUCCAAGCUUUGCAUAUUGCAGAUUUGAGAUGGCAUCUCUUCUCCGAGAAAGUUAUGACUCAAAUCUAACUCUGAAAGAUGAAUUAACUUCUCCAAUUCAACUGGAAUUUUCUUAAUAAACUGAUUAUUGCUCAAAUUCAAGUAAUGCAAUUUAACCAAGUUACCAAGACUUUUUGGGAUUGAGUUGCUUAAUCUAUUUGAAGACAAGUCAAGGCGCUCAAGUUGAGUGAGUGACCCGAGCUCUAGAGAUAGUUGUCCACAAAGUUGAUUACUAUUCAAAAUGAGCUUGAUUAGAGAACUAAGCUUGCCAAGUUUUGAUGGCAUCUCACCAACAAUGUGAUUUGACGAAAGAUCAAGAACUUUUAAUUGAGAUGAGUGUAUAAUCUCAGCGGGCAUGCUGCCAGUAAUAUUAUUCGAGGAAAAAUCUAAAGUGCCUAACUUUGGGCAUCUUCCCCAGUCAGAUGAGAUUUCACCAUAAAAAUAAUUGUGGCUGAGAUCUAUGAAAGCUAAGUUUGGAUGAAUACCGAAAGAUUCAGAUAUAUUACCGGUGAGAUGGUUUUGAUUAAGACGUACUCUUACUAAGCUUGUCAAAUUUCUCAAAUUAGGAAUUGGACCUCGUAAUUGGUUAUUCUCUAAAGUUAGUAGAGUCAACUUCACAAGGUUCCCAUAUUCUUUAGGAAUAGCACCAGAAAGCGCAUUAUCAAAAAGAGUCAAGAAAGUAAUCUGAGUCAAGUUACCCAGAGAAUGAGGGAUUGAGCCACAAAGUUUAUUGCCGCUCAGUUCUAAAUCAGAAAGAGACUUCAAGCGUCCUAUUUCACUUGGAAUUGAGCCAGAAAAUGAAUUGUUAUAAAGAUACAAGAAAGCCAAGUUGGACAAGUUACCUAGAGAGUGAGGGAUUGAGCCACCAAGUUUAUUGUCGCUCAAUUCUAAAUCAAAAAGAGACUUCAAUUUUCCUAUUUCACUUGGAAUUGAGCCAGAAAGUGAAUUGCCAUAAAGAUACAAGGUAGCCAAGUUGGUCAAAUUACCCAAAGAAUGAGGGAUUGAGCCACAAAGUUUAUUGUCGCUCAGUUCUAGAUCAGAAAGAGACUUCAAGCGUCCUAUUUCACUCGGAAUUGAGUCAGAAAGUGAAUUGUUAUGAAGAUACAAGGAAGCCAAGCUAGUCAAGUUACCCAGAGAGUGAGGGAUUGAGCCACUAAGUUUAUUGUAGCUCAAUCGUAGAUCGGAAAGAGACUUCAAUUUUCCUAUUUCACUUGGAAUUGAGCCAGAAAAUGAAUUGCCAUAAAGAUACAAGAUAACCAAGUUGGUCAUGUUACCUAGAGAGUGAGGGAUUGAACCACCGAGUUUAUUGUUGCUUAGAUCUAGAUCAGAAAGAGACUUCAAGCUUCUUAUUUCACUUGGAAUUGAGCUAGAAAGUGAAUUGUUAUAAAGAUACAAGGUAACCAAGUUGGUCAAGUUACUCAGAGAAUGCGGGAUUGAAUCUUCCAAAAAGUUUUUGUACAAAGCAAGGACGUUUAGAGAACUUAAUCGGCCUAAUUCAUGAGGAAUUGAGCCACUUAGCUGAUUCUCGAAUAGGCAAAGGACCUUCAGAUUACUUAGGUGGCCAAGUUGUACUGGUAUUGUCCCAGAAAACGAAUUGGAUGAUAAAUCAAGGUACUUGAGUUUUGAAAUGUUACCAAUUUGAGGCGGGAUGUUUCCAAAGAGUUGAUUGCUCCAAAGAGUGAGAUACUCAAGAUGGGGAAAUGAUGAGAAUGAGAAAUCAUGAAGCGUACCUUUUAAGCCUGUACUUGUGAGGUUAACACUAUUGACUGUUCCCGCAUGGUUGCAAUGAAUUCCAACCCAAGCACACGAGCUUAUUUUGGUGACAUUAUCAAGAGUCCAUGAAGGCAGGAGAGAUCCAUUUUUAUGAUUUUGAAGGCUAGCUUUCCAUUUGAGAAGAGCAUGGGCUUCUUCUGUAGAAUCAAAAGAAGCGGUGAGUGGAAAAUCUAGAACAGGGAAUAGGAUGAGGGAAAUGAGUGAGAAAAUUACUAAAUCAUUUUUCAAGUUUGGUAACGCCAUUGCAUAGUGAGAGAUCAACUGAGACUCGAUAAUUAUAUAUAGAAAGAGUAGAGAACAAUUAAAGAUGAGAACAACAAGAAUUAAAGAUUUGCUAGACACGGCAGAUAGAAAUAAACAUCUAGGACUAAUGGAUGUACAAAUAAACACACUGAAAGACAAUUUUAUAUUAACUAUACAAGAAAGCAAAUGAGUUAAUUGAAUCAAUGACGUGAGCCAACAAGUCAACGCGUCGAACACCUCUAAAGUAGACUAGUUGCAGGUAGGAUAAAAUAAAAAAUAUUGGUUUCAUUAGUUACCCAUAUGUCGAUUGAGGCCUGUAUUGUAUAUAUGCUUCUUUUAGCUUCAACGAAAAUCUAUUAGAAUGUGAACUAUUACAGUGUUACCAAAAAAAAAAAAAAAAAAAUUUAUGUGUUUUGAAAAUUUAAAUCAUGUCAAUAUCAAAUUUAAAUCUUAAAGGCCAAAAACACAAUCUUCGAUAUAAAAUUUUAUGAUUUUAAUUUAAUUCCAGUUCUAAGUUGAGGUCAGCGCAAAGAAUAGUUUCAGAACUUAACCCAAAUUCUUCUAUUUUUCAAUAAUUGUAAUAUUACCUGUAAUCGUGUUGCAGAAACAUAUUUAUUUCUAUCUCUCUAAUUUUAAAAAUAAAAAUAAAAUUCUUCUGGAUGAGCGUUAGCUGGAAUGGGAACUUCAUAUGUUCGGGGGUCAACAAAGGUGUGUAAAAUAUUUCUGAUUUUCUGUUCCGAAUUCUCCCAUUUGAUUGGAUUUGUUCAAAGGUUUAAUUAAAAAUUUUCUUGGGCGUAACGCAAAGCCAACAAUCAAGUGUUUUUUUUUUUUUUGGUUUGCAAUGGGGUGACCGUUAGCGGUAGUGUUUGUAUAAUAUGUAUGUGUUGCAAUCUAUAUCACAUACGCAUUCAAGGUUCAAGUACUUUUCAAAAAAAUUUAUUUAUUAUUUCUAUUUAAUAUUAUAUCAGUUUAUAAAUAAUAAAAAAUAGGUUACAAUCAAUAAAAUAUAAGAAUAAGAUUUUUCCUUAAUUUUAGUAAAUAAUUUUUAAUUUUAAUUUUAAUUUUAAUUUAUCUAAUUUAUAAGAAAUAAAUAUGAAUAAAUUAGAAGUGUAUUUGAAAAUAAGGAUAUUGUUAUAAAAUUAUUAUAUCAUGGGAGUUAUGGACCAUUAUGAAAAUAAUAAUUAAUUAAUUUUGUGAAAUGUUUCUCCAUUAUAUAUUUCUCUAGAAGAGCUGAAAAACUUAUCCGAAUACAUAUAAUUAAUUUUGUAAUCAAAAUUAAUGGGCAACUUGACUUCUCUUUCUCGGAUCCUAAGCCCUGAUUAACUUGUUUACUGGGCGCUCUUUUGGAUCCUGACCGACUAACUUGUUUACUGGGCAUUUGUCUCGAGAAAGAUUGUCAGUUAGUGAAUAGAAAAGUCUAUCCAAUUCUAAUUAAAGCAACACACAGUCACACACUGCCUUCCAAUACCUUUUUGUAGUAUAAAGUCACAAAUAUCGCAUAAAUGUUAUUGUAUAGGCCCUUAUUUGAUAAACAAAUAUGAUUAUUAUUGUCAUAUUAUGCACUUUGAUGACACAACUGCUUUAAUAUCUAUUUUAUAAAUGGCAAACAUUUAGCACAUUUUGGAUCUAAAUUGAGGUAGCUUCACUCAUCAAAUUUUAUGUAAAUAUUAGCUAUAGGUUUCCAUAAGGUUUGAAUUUGAAAUUCACAAGAAAGCAAAUAAGUGGUCGUCAAGCUUGCAUGAGCUCAACUAGUCAAUGCGUCAACACCUCUACAUUACAUCACAUAUUUUAAGAUAUCCAUUUUCCAGCACUGGAUCAAAAUUUCCCAGUCAAGCAACUUGCAAAAGAGGAUUGACUGAGAAAAUUGGGAGUGUGCUGAUUGAUGGAACCAACAAAAUUUCAAUCUCUAUUCCUUCCAAACGCACUAACAAAUUUUCAAUCUCAACCGGUCUAUACCUACCAUACGCACUAGCAAAUUUGCAAGGUCAAUGCUUAUUGGAGAACAACAAUGUGAUGGUUCAUCACAAUUUUUCCCAAGCCACCUCUAUUCCUGCAAGUGGUAGGCCCAGUAGUUAUACUUUUCUGGGCGCUGGACAUGUCCAGAGCAUGCUCGUUAUUGCUCGUCUCCCCCAAAACAAAUUAUAUCUAAUCUCUCUUUUUUACGAGCAGGGAGAAAAUUCCAUUUAGUGUGAGCUCCUUACUAACAACUUUCAAAUGUAUGUUUCUUUUAGAGAUGUAAAUAUGAACGUUAAGAUGAUUAGUUGAUUAUUGAAUAGGUUAUUUGCCAUAUACGUUGGUUGCAUAAUGGUGGGUUUGUGGAUAACAAAUGUGUAGAGCAUCUAGGAUAUGAAAUGAAGGUAUUAUAAGGUGUUUUUUCGUCAGCGUGAGACUGUUGUUUUUAAUUCGUUUUCUUAAUUGGUAUUUUCUUCGGUUAUGGGUUUCAAUUCUAUUUGGUGACUUACAGCAGUCAUCUCAUGUGUUUGGUGACCUCCUUAUAUUUGAUCAGCCCUCCACUUUUCGGUUAACUCGAUUUAUUUUUAGAUCUAUCCUGACUAAAAAAUAGUUAAAAAUAAAUAAUAUUUAUAUUUUGUUUCUCUCUCACAUCCCUUUCACUUUCUUGAACUGAUUCACAGUAUGAAUCAAAUAUUAUCUCCUAAUCCAAACCCGAAUCGAAAACUUGAAAGUCCUGAAUUAUUAUCACCAAAAAUCAAAAUCAAUCCCAAGCAUCUAUCGCAACAAAAUACACUACUUACAAAAUUUUACAAAACCCUGUAACAGAACCCCUCGUGCUGCAGAGGAGAUGGAUUGGUAGUGAUGACGAUAUGUGCUGGUGAUGGUGCUGGUGAUGAUUGACUUGAUGGUGAAGAUGACGAUUGACUUGAUGGUUAUGGUAAUGCUGACGCUCCAUAGAGGAAAAAAAAUUAAAAUAAAAAACUAAUAUAUCAGAGAACUCUAAACGUGUAAUAAAAAAAUUUGAAAAUGUUGUAACAUAUAUUUGCCAAUAUCAUGUACUUAAAAUUCUGUUAAAGAGAAGUUUUUCAUCUUCUUAUGGAGCCCACCAUCAUCGAGGUGACAGAAGAUUGAUGGGGUACCUCUAGUUUUUAAGUGGACUCGGAAGAGAAAUUGAUCACCGACAUCACUGUUUGAUAAUUGUAAUUUUCUGUACUUAAAAUUCUGUUAAAGAGAAGUUUUUUAAUUAAUUCUUAAUUAUCACUGUUUGAUAAUUGUAAUUUUCUGUUUCUGGAGUUAAGGGUGUUAGUAUGUUAGAGAGUAGAGACUACGGUGCUUUGAAUCCGUUGGCACCGACCUUUUUGUAAAAUUUCUCAAGAUUUUCAUUACACAUCUCAAGUGUUUCGUUUCAUUUUCGCUACUUUUGUAACAAAUUUUUUAUUUGAAGAGAACCAUAGCUUAAGAUGAUUCAUAUAGAAAAUUUAUUAGCUGUGAAUAAUUUUUGCAUUUUGGAAAAUACGGAUUUGAACUGGCCCAUGGUAAAUAACUACAAAAUAUACUAGUCAAUUACCGGGAUGCCUAUAAUUUAGUAUUAAAAUAUCGUUAGUUAAUAUGUUAACGGAAAUCCAUAUUUUAAAAAAUAUUGACGUUUGCACAUAUAAUUUUGAGAAAAUAAUCAAAGCUCCUCUGUUAUUUAAAAACUCACCAAAAAUCCAUAAUUUGCUGGGCAUUUUUUCCCCAAAAGAUUUUGUCUGUUAGUGAAUAGAAAAGUCUAUCCAAUUCCAAUUAAAGCAGCACACACUGCCUUUCAAUAUCUUUUUGUCGUAAUGAUAAUAGUACAGUUACAAAAAUCAUAUAAAUAUUGGAGAAAAGGACAUUUACACCCCUAAGGUUUGGAAAAAUGAUCAUAAAAACCACUGAAUUUUCAAUAAGUGACACUAAAACUCCAUUUUGACCAUAAUGUCUUUUAAUUCUAUAAAUUCCAAAAAAAAUUGACUCCAAAAUUUUAUAGUAUAUAGAAAUAUGCACCAAAAUAAAUGUAAUAAUAUAUAGAUUUUAAAAUAAUUAUAUUAUUUAAAAAAUAGUUUUAUAUUUUACAAUAUGCUAGACCUAUUUUAUUAUAUUAAACUAAUUUUUAGAAAUAAAUAGAAACAUAAUUUUAAUAUAAAUAAAUUAAUAUUAAAAUUAUUUUGAAUAUUAUAUAAAAAUAAUUUUAAUAUUAUUAAUAGGGAGAUAUUUUGUCAAUUGUAAAAUCCAUUUAACCCAAAGAUUUAUUUAAAAUCUUUAUAAUAAAUACAAAUGUAUUAUUAAAAUAAAUAUAAUAAUUUAAAAUUUUAAAAAUUAUUAAAUGUUAAAAAUAAUUUAAUAUCAUUAGUCUACUAGAUAGAUUAUAUUAUUUAUAUAAAUUCGUAUUAAUUAAAAAACUUUCAGUCAAUUUCUAAUUACUANNNNNNNNNNNNNNNNNNNNNNNNNNNNNNNNNNNNNNNNNNNNNNNNNNNNNNNNNNNNNNNNNNNNNNNNNNNNNNNNNNNNNNNNNNNNNNNNNNNNGAUUGUGGAUCUAAAUUGAGAUAGCUUCACUCAUAAAAUUUUAUGUAAAUAUUAGCUAUAGGUUUCCAUAGGGUUUGGUUUGAACUCCUUCACACGGCUGAAGAGGAUAUACACUAUAUAUAUAUACAUAAAUUUUUUAGUGCCUCUUCUUUUGAGCAUUUUUCCCUCUACCGCUUUUAUCCGUGCAUAUUUUAAGGAAUAAGCGCAUCACUUUUUUUUUUUUCUUUUUCCUCUUCAAUUAAUAAACUUCACUCCCUUUUCAAAAUAAUAAUAAUAGUGAUGGUGAUGAUAAUGAUGAUGAUGAACUUCACUCUUUCCUCUUAUGUCCCCCCCCCCCCCCCCCCAAAAAAAAAAGAAGAAAGAAAGAAAGAUAAAAGCAAUUUGCUUAUAGAUACAUAAUAAUGAUUUAAUUAAUUAAUUGUUCAAACCUCCUGUUGAUUUCAAUUUUUUUAGAAUAAUGUGAACUUGUUGUAAUUAUUUUUUGAAACCGGGGUUGGUUUACAAAAUUAAUGGGGUGAAAAUAUAUUUGUUCUUUAUGAUUUUGCCUUACAACUUUUCCAGUUUUACAUAUAACGCCUGUACGUCUUCAUACUCAUUUUAGACUUUGGGUUCUAAAAGUUACUUCUAUGAAUUUUGGCCCUAUUAUAUUUUUCUUGAUCUUCCAAGCUCCUCCCUUGUUUCAAGUAGGGUAAAUGGUAACAAAAUUCCUGUUAGGAACUUGAUUAUUUUAGGAUUCAAGAUAUUAAUUCAUGUUGUGUUCAGAGUGAUUGUGAAAUUCACAUUGAAAUCAUUAUUUCUAAGCUUUCAAACUACAAUAAUGGUAAGUAAAACUUCUUUAUAGUCAUAUUGUUGGGACCAAUUUUUUUUUUUUUUUUCUAUGAGGAAGUAAUGACUUAAUAGAGGUAUAGUUACAUAAAUUAAUGUUUUGACUUAAUCAUCCUUAGUACAAAUAAUAUAGAGGUAAAGUAUGCACUACAUUAAUAAUUAAUUAAAGGAACAUGUCAAAUCCAAUGUAUAUACAUUAAUAAAAAAGAUAAAUAUAUAUAUUUUUUUAAAAUAGUACAUAUAUCUAAAUAGUGUUAUGCAAAGUCAUUUUAAAGUCUAAAUGUUUUUGCAUUCUCUUAAAUAUUUUUCUCUUAGUAUAAAUUCCAUAAAUACUAUGCAUUAUAUAAAUCAUUGUCCUAUACAACUUUCAAAAAUAAUAUUUUAUUCCAUCUUAAACCUUUAAUAUAAUUUUACAUAAAAUUUUUCGAAUAUACAAAUAAAUAUUACUAUGUGGAGGCUAGUUUCUUAAGAUAGGAUCACAACGGUAGAUAAGUUAGCAGGAGUAAAAGAAAAUAUUAAAAAAAUGUGUCAGUUUUUUUUUUUUAAGUAUUUCAUUAAAACAAAAACAUUACAAACUGUUUAAUAAGCACAGAGGUGGAACAUGACUCCACUCUCCGGGACCUGACAUAGAACCUCCUGCCCUAACAACAGAAUGGAAAGAAGAGUUCGCAGAUCGACACACAAACAAGAAUUGCACUUCUCAUAUAGACAUCGCAAGAGAUUAACACUCCUCAAUUGUAAGGCCAAAACCAUUGGGGCUGGAAAAAUUCUCAGUUAAAGCUUGAAAGACUUGAAGGUUGUCCAUUUCGAUAAUAGCACAAGGCAAUUGCAGCCUCUUGAUCCUACUGAGAGCCUCUCUAAUGCCAAGAGCUUCAGGCUCUCGUGAGCCAAAAAUACCUAGAAAACACUCACACCUUGCUGCCACAAAUUCACCAACAGAGUUAUGAAUUACACACCCAACACUGAACUUGAGCAUUAAAUAUGGCAGCAUCAACAUUUCACUUUAACCAACCAAAGCAAGGUUUUUCCCAACAAAUAGCCCCAUGACCAACUCUAUUAGUAUCAGCAUUAAUAAAGAAAUGAUGUUUCCUUAUAGUUUGCCACUGGAAUAAAAUCUGCCCAGCAGAGUUGAGGACUUGUAAAGCACUGCCAGUUCUGUGGUUCCAUAAAUGAUCAGUACGAUGAAUCCAAAUCCUCCAGCAAAUCAUGGCGGCAAGCUGACAAUUCUCCUUACUAUACCGAGAGAAAAUAGCCUCCAGCCAAGCCAAAAAAGAAAUGCAGUAACCAAAGAAACCAACAGCAGAGGAAAUCCAACAAGACGUAGCAAAGCUACACUCCAGUAGAGCAUGUGUAAUAGUCUUAUCAUAGGCAUUGCACAAAGAGCAAGUAGGUAUAAUAGUCACUCUACGACGAAUAAGGUUAUCCGCAGUAGGUAAUACAUUUGUCGCAGCCAGUCAAAGAAAAUUCCUAACCUUACUCGGCACCUCCAAAUUCCACAAUGUUCUCCAAAUACUAGUAGAAGAAUCACUAGCACUAUGGGUUAACAGUUUAUAGCAGCUCGUAUCGAAUAAACUCCACAAGGAUCAUGCAGCCAAUACCACAUAUCAGACUCUCUACGGUAGCUAAGAGGAAUUUGCAAGAUCAACUCUUUAUCUCUUGAAUUAAAAAGGUUAGAAAUAAUAUCUAAAUCCCAUCGUCUUUGGUUUGGCACCAUCAAGCUACUCACUUUUGCAACAACCAGCUCCUCAUUUAGGUUAGAUGAGAUAAAGCCAUUAUUGAUAUCUGGUAGCCAAGGAUCUUGGCCUAUUAAAACAUUCUACCCGCUUUUAAUUUGAAUUUGGCUUCCACAGACAACAACAUCCUUUGCAGAUAAAAUAGAUCGCCAUACAAAACUCGGAUUGUGCCCUAAUUUGGCUUCAUUAAUAGAAGUUCUCGAAUAAUAGCGAGCCUUUAAAACUUUAUCAACAAAAGAUUCUAGUUUUGUAAGAAGUUUCCAGACCUGUUUGCCAAGCAUAGCGACAUUGAAAGUAUGCAAUUGCUUGAAGCUAAUUCCCCCAAAAACCUUCGGUUUACAUAAGUGCUCCCACUUUAUCCAAUGAAUUCCCCUACCACCAUCGCUUUUGCUGCCCACUAAAAGGAAUUCAUCAUAACUUCCAGCUCCUUGCAUAAGUCAAGAGGUAAGAGAUAGACAUUCAUGGCGUAAUUAGGCAUUACCUAGGCCACCGUUUUCAGCAAGAUUUCCUUCCCAGCUCGAGAUAACAUUUUGGAAUGCCAUCCUUGCAGCCUUUGUUGAACUUUGUCCCGAAUAUAAUUAAAGACAACUUUUUUCUUUCGACUAAUAUAAGAUGAAAGUCCGAGAUAAGCUCCAUGAUCUUCUGUAGCAUUGACAUCCAGGGUUCCAUAAAUCUGACUAACAAUACUAGCAUGCACAUUAGCACUAAAUGAAAUGGAUAAUUUAGUAAAAUUUACCAACUGACCAGAAGCACAUCCAUAGGUAGCUAAAAUCUGCUUAAUGAUAGAACCUUCAACUGGAUUUGCUCUAAAAAACAGGAAGCUAUCAUCGGUGAAAAACAAAUGAGACACCACUGGAGCCCUUCAAACAGCUCUCACCCCAUGAAGCAAACCAAGCCUCUCAUAUCUCUUGAUCAAAGAACUGAGUCCCUCUGCGCAUAAAAUGAAAUGAUACAAAGACAGUGGAUCGCCUUGGCGUAGACCCCUGCUUGGCAUAAUUGGACCUACCUCCCUACCCUCACAAUGCACACUGUAACUAACUGUUGUCACACAAUGCAUGAUUAAGUUCACCCAUUUAGCAUCAAAACACAGUUUAAGCAUCAUAUCCUGAAGAAAACCCCACUCGAUCCUAUCAUAUGCUUUAGACAUAUCGAUCUUUAGAACAACGAUACCAUGUUUUCCUUGCCUCUUCCUCUUCGAAAAGUGCAUAAUUUCUGCUGAGAAAAUUAUAUUAUCGGUAAUUGCAUGACCGGGAAUAAAUGCACUCUGAGAGUCUGAAACAACCGAGUCAAGAACUAAUUUCAUGGGAUUAGCUAGCAUCUUGGAGACUAUUUUAUAAAGCAUAUUACAAAGUGCAAUCAGCCUCAUCAACCACAGCAGGAAAUACUAUUUGAGCAGUAGCGGAUCAAGGUAUGCAACGACCAGAAGUGUCAUGAUAAAGGGUCAUGGUCUCGGAUCUGACAACACCUGAGGCCGCUGUUUCUUCGGAAUAAGGACAAUAGAUGUGUCGUUUAAUCAUACAGGGAAAGAACAAUUAUGAAUAAAAGAUAGGUAAGCCGACACCGCAUCCUCACUACAAUGUGCCAGAAUUUUUCGUAGAAUGUAGGAUUCAUAACAUCUGGACUUGGGGAUUUAUCAGGAUGCAUUUCAAAAAGAGCCUCCUUAACUUCAAUAGCAGAAAACUGAGCCAAAAGUAAAGAAUUCUGCUCACUUGUAACCCUUGUCUCCACACACCGUAAAAUAUCAGCAGUAUGACAACCAUCAGACUUAAAUAAAUUACUAAAAUACUCCACAAUCUCAGCAUCAAUAUUAUUUGAAUUUGAAACCCACUGACCUUGACUGUUGCGAAGAGCCCCAAAAGAAUUUCUCCGUUUUCGUGCUGAGGCCGAAGCAUGAAAAUAACGAGUAUUUCGAUCCCCUUCUUUCAGCCAAAGAGACUUCGAUAUCUGCUUCUAAAAAACCUCAUUGCUAUGGAGGAGCUCAUUAAAUCUGUUUCUUGCCUCAGUAAAAGCAACCACGCCAUCCACGUCACGACGCCCUCUCAAGGAAGCCAUUUAUUGCUUACACUCUAAUUUUCAUUUCCGAAAGUCCUGAGCUAAAUGCCCACCCCAUACCAGCAAAGCAUUACCACAAACCUUAAUCUUUUGCUGAAUAUAAAUAUUUGUAGAGGAAGCCCAGCUAGAUCGAAUAACAUCAACACGCCCAACGUCACGCAGCCAUAAGUUCUUAGAGCGGAAUCGGCUAUGUCUGUAUACAUGUAAAUUCGGAUUGGGAUCCAAUAAAAUUGGCAGGUGGUUGGAGCAAGAAGAUUUCAAACUACAAACUUUCGCUCUAAAAAACUGUCGAAGCCAGGCAUCAGUAGCAAACGCUCAAUCAAGUCUUUCCUCAACCCAAUUAUCUGUGUCCCGAGAUCUCUCCCAAGUGAACUUGUUACCCUCCAUGCCCGGAUCGAUCAAACCACAGUCUAUAAUUGCACUGUUGAAACCUAUCAGCUUCCAGUUUGGGUGUUUAUGUCUGCCUCGCUUUUCAUUAGCCACCAACAAAUCAUUAAAGUCGCCAAUACAAACCCACGGCAAAUAGAAAGAGGUAGACAACAAACGAAGUAAAUCCCAGGAUGCCCGACGGUGGCUAGAUUUAGGGUAACCAUAAAAGCCCGUGAUUCUCCACCUUCGUUGGUCAGCCAAUUCAACUUCUGUAUCAAUAUAAUUCGUUACAUAACUAAGCAAAUUAACAACACAAGAUGCGUUCCAUAAGAGUGCAAUCCCACCACUGCGGCCCACUCUAUCCACAACAAAAAGCCCAUCAAAACCCAACUUCACUUUAAUGCUUUCUAAUUUAUUUUUACUGCAUAAUGUUUCAAUUAAAAAAAUAAAACAAGGCUUCUUACUACAGACCAAGUCCACCAACACCUGAACUAUCCAUGAGUGGCCCAACCCACAGCAGUUUCAAUUCAAAAUACUCAUUGGGUUCGGUGGGCCUGGAGUACAGGUCCCACCGCUGGUUCAUUUUUUGCCACUUCAAAUGUGUCAUUUGUUGUUGAAAACUCCUGACCUAGGCCCAUAGUAAUGUGAAGCCCAUUUAGAGAUCUUCUUCGUUUUAAAUAGUUGACAAUAGGGCCAUUCUCAAAAUCCUUAUCACUUUCCAUAUCACCAUCUACAACAACAGCUGUCCCACUCGAUGACUUCUCUAUUAGUUGAUUCCCAAUUGGUAAUUGUUUAUCAACUACCUUAUUGGGAGCCAUGUUUCCCAUGUUUUUGCCACCAAUAAAGGGCUUAGGUAAAAUAACUCCGGAUAUUGUGGCAUUAACCGAAUCAACUAACAUGGCAACAGCUUGAUUCAUGCUCCUUCCUUUAACUGCCUCAACCGUUUCCGGUGGUCCCUGGCGCAGCCACCGUUUGUCGAAAUUCAUCACAGUUCUUCUAUUUGGUGCCUUCAACCAAUGUCCACAAACUGGCACAAUUUCUCCUUUUGGGCACUUAUACAAUUUGGGGCAUUGUUUUUCAGUAUGCCCAAGCAAGCCACAGAUGAAGCAAAAAAAAUUAAGCCUCUCAUACUUAAAAUCAAUCCAAAUCCAAUCGCGUCCUACUUUCUUCAAUUUCAUCCUGUGCUUAAGAGGUUUUCUUACAUCUAUGGAUACACGAAUGCACAUAUAAUUGCGCCAGACUCCCAUCAAAUUAUUUUCAUCCGAAUCCAAGAAAGUACCAAUGUAAUUCCCAAUGUCUUUCAAGAUUUUCUCUGACAUAAAUCCAAUUGGUAAAUUAUAGAUCUGUAUCCAGAGGGAAGUAAAAAACAAUGGAACAUUUUGUGGUUACUUAUCUUCCUCCAGCUGCUUUACAAUCAAGAUAUGUUGAUCAAAAGUUCAUGGUCCCGAUUCCAACACCCUAUUAAUAUCAAUCUCAUGGAAGAAUUGAAAGAGGAACAAUGUUGGUGAUAAGUCUUUGAUGCACACUCCUUUGCCGGGACGCCACAACGACGCCAUUGUGUUUUUUAUGGCAGCAAAAUUUAUCACUUUGUCUGUAAAAAAUCUGCCAACCAAGCAAAAAAGGAGAUCAAAUUUCCCCUAACCACCGUCAUCCCCCUCAUCCCCCGUGACUAUCAAACCUCCUUCCUCCUCCUCGUCGAUGGACAUGCUAGCAUAAUCACUAUUGAUAGCGGUUUCCAGUGAUUCAACGUUGGUGGCCAUUGCAUGAAAUCAAAGAAUGCAAACAAUAUUUGGGAUAGAACAAAUAUUUUGAGAAUUAUAAAUUAACUUGUCCUAAAGACAAGACAAAACACAACUUGUCCCAAAGACAAGACAAAAUCGUUUGUGGAGAAAGUUUAUAUAAAAAAAAUGUAAGUUAAUUAAUGAACUAGACUUUGCAAAUUUUUAUGCGUUACUGAUUAACUAAUUCUUUUCAUCGAUUAUAGACUCUAGAUUCUCAUUUAAGCAUGCAAAGGACACCUGCAGGAUUGACAUCAGUUUAUUCGGAACAUUUCACUAAUUAUUGGAACAUUUCACUAAUUAAGUUAUUUCAUAUAAUUGGAAGAUGAAGAUGAAAUUUCUAAAAGAAAAUCUCCUGGAUACUUAAUUCCCUUUGAUCACGUCCAAUUCUAACACACUAAAAGUGUGCGCAUCGCGUUUUUCAGCGACUUCUAUAGUGUAGGAGCGCCAGUUCUGCAAAUUGAAAGAUUAAUACGCAAAUAUAGGUCUUUUUUUAGGAUUGAGGUGCUAUAACUUUUAAGCUAUAGCUGCUAUGUGUUAAGGAAGCACACAUCAGUAGCAUAGACUGUAAAGCAGAGGAUAGCAGCAGCUCCAGCUUACAGUUAAGAGUUGAUGACAUGGCAUGCCAGCUGGCACCUGGUGGUUAUGUAAUCACUUGUUCACGUGAUAAUUAGUUGAAGUUGUUAUAGCUAGCUAGAAUUAGUUUUGUAAUGAGUUAACUAAUUGAGCUGAGCAUCAGUUGUGUAUAUAAGCAUCUCUGUGUACAGUUUCAUAAGUAAGUUUUAGAUGAAUAAAAUCGUAUGAGCUAAAAGCUUUCAGUUCUUAAAUUUUCUCAGCUUCCAAACAUCCUUUUUCUGAUUUCUUACUUCAGCUUCCAAACAUCCUUUUUCAUCUCAAGUGCUUGCUUCAAUUCGAGGAAAUAGACUUGAGAAAUUUAUCGAUGAGUCAAUCACUCCACCUCCUUCUCAUAUUGCUCAGAGAUAUGAUGAUGAGCUUAGAUCUGUGGAGAAUCCAGAAUUUGCAACCUGGAGAGCACAAGAUCAAAUACUUCUCGGUUGGCUUCUUUCAUCAAUGAGUGAAGGUAUCAUCAGUUUGGUGUUCAAUCUUGAGACUUCAUUGGAGGUAUGGAAAGCUGUUGAAACUCAAUUUGGAUCUCAAUCAAAGUCUAGGUUAUUACAUUUGAGAUAUUUGAUGAAUUCCACUAGAAAGGAUGAUCUUAAAAUGACUGAAUACUUCAUUAAAAUGAAAUCUAUUGCUGAUAACAUGGCUGCAGCAGGAAGUGCAUUAAGCAAUGAUGAUUUGAUUUUACAUGUACUCUCUGGUCUAGGUCCUGAUUAUAAUUCUGUUGCUACUUACAUCACUGGACAAGUAGGAACUGGAAAAAUGAAUGUUAAUGAGGCUUAUGCUAUGCUGUUAACUCAAGAGGCUAGGAUUGAUCAACAAACUCAUAUGCUUGCUAAUAUGGAUGUUAAACACAAUUUAGAAGCUAACUUUGCACAAAAUAGAGGACCUAAGAGAGGAAACUUCUCAGGAGGAAAAGGUUUUGGUAGUCUUGGAUAUAAUACAGGCUACAGUAAUGCUGGAAAUUCUGGAAAUAGUGGUUACAGAGGAAAUUAUGGAUCAUCUGGUUUUGCUGUUGGAAGUGCUGGAAAUAAUGGUUACAGAGGAAACUAUGGAGGAGGAGGAGGAGGAAACUGGAAUAAUAAUAAUGCUGUCAAUAAUGGCAAAACACCUGGAAAUCCUAAAUCUCAGUGGAAUCCUUCUAAGCCUACAUGUCAAGUUUGUCUCAAAAUAGGUCACACAGCUAAUGUAUGCUGGAAGCUGGAAGAAUUUAUUGCUUCAGGAGCUUAUAGACCACCUCCAAACAGGAAUCCGAAAUCUGCAUAUCUGGCAAACAUGGAAGGAUCAUCUGAUACAAAUUGGUACCUUGACAGUGGUGCCACUCACCAUCUCACAAAUGACAUGAACAAUAUGCAGAUUUCUGAAUCAUUUACAGGUACAUCUAAACUCAUUAUUGGUAAUGGUACUGGCUUGAAUAUUACAAAUAUUGGAAAAGCUGUUCUGAGAUUGCACAAUUGCACUGAUUCCACUGUGAUUAAACUAAACAAUAUACUUUUAGUUCCACAAAUAACCAAGAACCUUAUAAGCAUUUCUCAGCUAACCAAAGACAACAAUAUCACAGUUGAGUUUACUGACAAAUCUUGUUUUGUGAAGGACAAGGUGAAGAAUUUGAUCAUACUGCAGGGCAAGGCUGAAAAAGGCUUGUACAGAUUGCUAUUAGUGUCCUCAAAUAAAACUUCUGCUCAGUCUUCCUUUCAAGGUCAUGUUGCCAAUAUUGAGUCUUCUUUUCAGUCAUUUGUUCCUUUGUCAAUGCUAUCAACUGUCAAUCUCAGUCAGUCAAAUAAUCACUGCUUGCAAAAUGUGGCAGCAGAACCUUGUAUGAACUCUAAGUGUCUUUUAAGCACUUCUGUAUUACAUCAGAGGCUAGGUCAUCCUAACUCUAAGAUCUUAAACCAUGUAAUACAAUCUUGUUCCUCUUUCAAACCUAUCAAUGGAAAUAAAGAGUUUGAUUCAUGUGAUGCUUGUAAAUUUGGGAAAAUGCAUAGAUUACACUUUCCAACAACUGAAACAAAAACAAAACAACCUUUAGCCAUUUUACAUACUGAUUUAUGGGGACCAGCUCCAGUGGUUUCCACACAAGGUUAUAAAUAUUAUGUGAGCUUUGUGGAUGAUUUUACCAGAUUCACUUGGAUAUUUCCCCUGAAAACCAAAGAUGAAACUCUUCAUGUGUUCAAAAUUUUCAAAGCUCAAGUUGAAAAACAAUUAGAACAGCCCAUUAAAUGUCUUCAAUCUGACUGGGGAGGGGAAUUCAGAUCCUUUAGCAAAUAUCUUCAAGAAGAAGGGAUAGAAUUUAGACACUCUUAUCCUUAUACACAUAACCAAAAUGGUUUGGUAGAAAGGAAACACAGACACAUCACUGAAUCAGGUCUUACUCUUCUUGCACAAGCUAAAUUACCUAUCAAAUUCUGGUGGGAUUCCUUUCAUACAGCAGCCUAUCUCAUUAACAGAUUACCAACACCUAUUCUAGCAAUGAAAACUCCAUAUGAAUCAAUCUUUCAUCAUCAACCAGACUAUAACUUUCUAAGAACAUUUGGAUGUUCUUGUUUUCCUUUUCUCAGAGAAUACAAUAACCAUAAAUUUCAUUUCCAUACUUCAAAGUGUGUCUUCUUAGGAUAUAGUCCUUCACAUAAGGGCUAUAAGUGUCUACAUUCAUCAGGCAAAAUUUAUAUUGCCAGUCAUGUAUUGUUUGAUGAAACCACUUUCCCUUACAUUUCAGAUCCAAAUUUUUCUUCCUCUUCUAAACACACUUCCUCUGAUUUUCAAUAUAAUCUUUUUCAAAGGUUUACUCUGUCAGUUCCUAAUAGCAAUCUGAACAGUCUUGAAGCUACUGCAGCAGAUCAAUUCCCUGUCAAUCAUUCUUUAUCAUCAAAUUCACCUCAAUUUCAGUCACCCACAAAUCAGACCUCUACAUCUUUGCCUUCACCUGCACCCCAGUCACCAGCACCACAAAUACCCUGCACAACACAAACAUCUCAGCCUAAACCUUCUACUUCUACCCAUCAUAUGAUAACCAGAGCUAGAGCUGGUAUUUUCAAACCAAAAACCUUUCUAACAACUCACAACAGCUUAGAACCAUCCACUGUCCCUGAGGCAUUAUCAGAUCCUAAAUGGAAAGAUGCAAUGCAAACUGAGUAUGAUGCUCUUAUUCACAACAACACUUGGACUCUUGUGCCAAUGUCUUCAACAUACAAGCUAGUUGGUUGUAAGUGGGUAUUCAGAACAAAGUAUAACACAGAUGGAACUGUCAGCAAGUAUAAAGCUAGAUUGGUUGCAAAGGGAUUUCACCAAACAGCAGGGGUAGAUUAUUCAGAAACUUUCAGUCCAGUGGUGAAGUCUUCAACAGUUAGAGUUAUACUCAGCUUGGCAGUUAUAAAAGGGUGGAAAGUCAGACAAAUUGAUGUAAAUAAUGCAUUCCUUAAUGGAGAUCUUUCUGAGAACGUAUAUAUGACACAACCAGAAGGCUUUGUAACUAAGGAAGGGUACAUCUGCAAACUCAAUAAAGCUCUCUAUGGUCUAAAACAAGCUCCACGAGCCUGGUAUGAAAAAUUGAAGGGUUGUCUAACUACUUGGCAAUUUCUUAAUUCAAAGGCUGAUACAUCUCUAUUCAUUAAACAUGAUACAAGGGGCUUAAUCAUAGUAUUGAUCUAUGUGGAUGAUAUUCUAGUCACUGGACCAGAUUCUGCUUUACUAGAGGAUUUUAUUGUUAAACUCAGUCAGACAUUUGCCUUGAAAGAUCUGGGAUUAGUUGCUUACUUCCUAGGUGUUGAAGUUAGUUACUUUGAUGAAGGUAUGCAUCUAUCUCAAACAAAGUAUAUUAAAGACUUGCUGAGUAAAGCAUCUAUGGAGAAUUGCAAAGGGUCUGAUACUCCUCUUAGUACUGGUUUGAAGCUAGAAAGAAAUGUCAGGGGUCCUUUGGGUCAGGAGUUCGAAAAUCCAACACAAUACAGAAGCAUAGUUGGAGGGUUACAAUAUCUAAUUCUCACCAGGCCGGAUAUAGCUUAUUCAGUUCAUAAGCUCAGUCAAUACCUCAGUUCUCCUACUGUUCAGCACUGGUUAGCCUGCAAAAGAGUUCUUCGAUAUCUCCAGUCAACCAUCACCUAUGGUCUCUAUCUUAGAAAGGAAGCAACUCUGGAAAUUGGAAUAACAGGCUAUACAGAUGCUGACUGGGCUUGUGGUCUUGACGACAGAAAAUCAAUUGGAGCCUAUUGUAUAUACUUGGGUAACAAUCUGAUUUCAUGGUCUUCCAAAAAGCAAGCAAUUGUAGCAAAGUCAAGCACAGAAAGUGAAUAUCGAGCCCUGUCAGCAGCAUGCUCAGAAAUUUCUUGGUUGCAGUCUUUAUUUUCAGAACUCAACAUUGCUAAACUACCUACUCCAGUUCUUUGGUGUGAUAACCAAAGUGCAGGGGAGCUAGCUCGCAACCCUGUGUUUCACUCAAAAUCUAAGCACAUAGAGUUGGAUGUUCAUUAUGUUAGAGACAAAGUGCUUGGAAAAGAAUUGGAGGUUAGAUACAUUCCUACUGAAGAACAAGUAGCUGAUGUUCUGACUAAGCCCUUAUCUUUUUCUAAAUUCAGCUUUUUUAGAUCCAAGCUCAAUGUCGUUAGUAGACCUUUGAGCUUGAGAGGGGAUGUUAAGGAAGCACACAUCAGUAGCAUAGACUGUAAAGCAGAGGAUAGCAGCAGCUCCAGCUUACAGUUAAGAGUUGAUGACAUGGCAUGCCAGCUGGCACCUGGUGGUUAUGUAAUCACUUGUUCACGUGAUAAUUAGUUGAAGUUGUUAUAGCUAGCUAGAAUUAGUUUUGUAAUGAGUUAACUAAUUGAGCUGAGCAUCAGUUGUGUAUAUAAGCAUCUCUGUGUACAGUUUCAUAAGUAAGUUUUAGAUGAAUAAAAUCGUAUGAGCUAAAAGCUUUCAGUUCUUAAAUUUUCUUAGCUUCCAAACAUCCUUUUUCUGAUUUCUUACUCUAUGGGAAAAAAGUUGUAACUAUAAAAUGAAAAUUAAUAAUAUGUAGUAAAUGUAAAUUUUAAGUAAUAAUUUUGACAAAAUUAUUAAAGAUAUAAGAGAUUUUCUCUUAUACAAGUGAAAAAUCAUAUCAAUAUAGCUUCCAAACUACAGUAGCUAGUGUUUACCAAACACUUUAGUGUUGUAACUUUUACGCUACAGCUGCCCAACUUCAAUCCCAAACGCACCCAUAAUCAUCUUAAUUUGUAACACCAAGAUAUAUAUAUAUAUAAACACUUUAGUGUUGUAACUUUUACGCUACAACUGCCCAACUUCAAUCUCAAACGCACCCAUAAUCAUCUUAAUUUGUAACACCAAGAUAUAUAUAUAUAUAUAUCUGUGUGUGUGUGUGUGUAAAUUUUAGAGUUUGGUAAAAAAAUCAAAAUCAAAAUCACUUUUGUGAAAAUAAGUCCCUCCUACAGCUGAUUUUAAAAAGAAAGAAAAGAGAUGCUUUCAGAUUUUGAUUUUGAGAACUAAUUUUAUCCUUUAAUACAAUUCCAUAAAUAUCCUUACAAUUAUUACCCAAACCUAAAACUUCCCUCAUUCAAAUUGGAAAUAAAAUUAAUAUUUUAAUAAAUAUUUAUUGUAAUUCACACAUUCCCUUUGUUUACUCUAUUUCUUCUUUAUAUUUUACCAUUCCAUUAAAAGUUCUCUAUGGCAAAUAGGCAAGAUAGAGUAUGUCUUUCAUCGCCUUUUAACUAAAUUCAUGCAUAUUUAAUGCAAUUGAUUGGUGUAAUUCUUAAUAUAAUAUUUGUUUGUUUAUUUUGUUUGGAAUUGUUUAUUUCUAAAAGAUUUCAUGCAUGUUCAAUUGCAAUGUUUAUAAUUUUUUAUGCCGCCAGUCGAUGGUUCAAGUAUAUGAACUAUGAGUGUUUGUGAUUUUUAGUUUUUACGUCAUUUGUCAAUUCUUAACAAAUUAUUUUCUAUAAUAUUAUUGAUUGUCUUUUUUUCUUUUACUAUAUAUUUUAUCCGCCAUUCAUUUUCUUUUUUGUUCAUUAUAAUUUUUAAAGUAAUAUUUGUGUUAAAAUAUAUUUGCAAUGAUGGACAAACACUAGGAACUUAUCAAUCAAACUGAAACUAAUAACGCACCACGAGGUACGGCUAUAUGGAAUAGUGAGACUAUCAAUUUUUUUUAAUUCAUGUAUAAAAGUAGAUGAAGGACUUCACCCUGGGACCAUUUUACUAAACUAGAAUGGGAAAAUUUGGUCAAAAUUUUUUGUAAAGCAAUGGGAAGAGAAUAUAAUAAAUUACAAUUGAAAAAUAAAUGGGAUGCACUAAAUAAUAAUCGGAAAUUAUGGAAAGAUCUUAUUGAAAAGAAAACUGAUCUAGGAUGGAAUAUACAAAAGAAAAUAAUUGAUGCAUCUCCGAAAUGGUGGCAGAGUAAAUUGAAGUUAUUUCUGGGGUUGAGAUUGGAGAAAAAUAAUGGUUGUUUGCUACUCAACUUUUUAAUCGUAAAGAGAAAAGGGGGAUGUUUACAACCAUGAAAGAACCUCAAAUUAUGCUUAAUUGGCUUUACUAUGAGCAAUCACAAAAUUUGCAGUCUUAAAUAUUACUCUUCUCUUUUAACAGUAAUAAGGGAAUUUUUUUUUGUUAUGUAUUUUUUCCUUAUGAUGUUUUAAGGUACAAUUGGCUAUUUAAAUACUGACAGUAAGUUAUUAUUAGUUUUGAAUGUUUGUCAUAUAUUUUUUAUUUAUUUAUUUUUUAUUCAAGCUAGAUGAUAUGGGUUUAAAUUAUUGAUUUCAGGUUUUGUUUAUAAUAUGGGCUAGCCAGAUGUCGAGUAGGAGUUUGACAGCAGUACCGUAUCCACUUUUAUGAUGCACUGACAAUAUUAUGAACAUGUUUUUAUAACACUAUAAAAUAUUUGACAACUUUGUAAAACAAUGGAAAAGAUAAUUUAUAACAUUGUAAAAUUGGUUACGAAUUUUUUUAAAAUUUGAAAUUCCUGAACAUGAGAACGACUCUUAUAAUAAGAAUUUAUAAUAUUUUCACCUUUUUUUAUAAAAUUUAUAUUUAUCCACACUAUAAACAUCAAAAAAGAAACUCUUAGAUAACUUGAGAGAUAUGAGCCUAUGGGUUCGAUUGAUAUAGAUUUUCAAAUAGAGUUUAUUUCAGUAAACCUUUUGUUAAUAAAGCUUUUAUAAGUAGAGAUUUCACCCCAAAAAAAUAGUUGUUUGGUUGGUAAUAAAAGAUUUUAUUAAAAAUUAUAAAAUUACUUUAAUAGACAAGUUUUUAAAAGUUAUGUCAUAAGAGGAAUGAAAUAAAAUUGUUAAAUAAGUAGGAUGUUUUAGACCUUUUAAUUUUUUUAAAAAGCUUUUCAAUCUCUACUUUUAAAAGUACAAAAUUUGAGCUUUUACUAGUAUAUGUAAAAUAACUUUUUUAAUCUUUAAAAGCUCUACUAAAAAAAUAACUAAAUAACUAAGAAAAAUAAAAAAAAGCUUAUGAGAUUAAAUAAGUUCCUAUAACCAUUAAAUAAGUCAUACAAAAUAGACACCAUAUCAUAUUAGAAAAAAUCCUUAACCGACAAAAUUACAGGCCAACAACAAAUCCCAACCACCAUCCUGAAAAAAAAAAAGAAUUCAUAACAAUCACCAUAAUCCUAUCUGACGCCAUAUCGGCGGAUGAUGUCACCAAUAAUAAUUAUAAUGAUAAAACUAUUAAAAAAAAUUAUGGUGCAGUCAACUGCCAUGCCUGGCGGGUUCGCUUGUGGGUUCAAAGCCGCUGUCCGAGCCGUGGUGGAUGCCGACGCAUUUCAUAAUUUAUCUCUACUUCUUUCCCUUACAGAUGGAAAAUGGUAAAUUUUCAAAUUGUUUAUCUUUCUUUUUUUGGUUUUUAUUAUUGCAUAACUUUUAAAUGUUUGCCUAAUUCUUGUUUCAAAUUAGCUGGCAUGUUUAAAUUUGUUGCUUUACUGAGCUUAAUGUUCAAUUUGUAUGAUCACAAGCGAGGGAUCCUGUGAUCUUUAUUAAGCUAAAAUUUUUGGCUUAAUGUUCAUAAGAAUAUAUCUCUUUGGAUUCUAAUACGAAGCUGGUUUAGCUGUUCAAGUAGACCAGUUAGUUUUAAGUUGUUAAUUUUGGAUAUACUUAUGAAGAUGGGGCAUCUAUAGCCGACUCUUCUCCAUUUAGAACCUUCUCUUUGCUCUUUUCUAGUUAAAUCUUUACUUAUCUUUCAGUUCUCAAACUUAGAUGGCGUUUGUUUUUUUAUCUGAAAUCUGAAUAAAUCUUAAUUUUGAAUAGAAUUAAAUGUCUGAAUCUAAUUGAUAUGUGUGUUUUUUUGUUUGAAUUGCUAAAAACAAAUAUUAGGUUAUUUGUUUUUUAACUUAAAAAAUCUGAAAAUUAAUAUUUUUACAUUUGUACCCUUACAAAUUAUAAAAACUAAAGUAAUAAACAUCUCAAAAAACUUAAAUAAGAUAAUAUAUUAUCAUAAUAUGAAUCAUAUUUAAUUAAAUACAACCCUUUAUAUUCUAAAUUAGUAUAUGUUAAUCAAUUUUAUUGUAGCUCAUGAUGUUUUUAUGUGAAAAUAUUCAUAAAAAAUUAUGAAGAUAGAUAAUGCUAAUUUGAAGAAAACAAAAAGAUAAAAAUAAUAAUAGUCUAUCACUAUAUUGUCACAAGUUAUACAAAUUGGUAAUAAUGUUGAUUAUUAAAUUUUAUUUAGGUAAUGAUGAAAAUUCUUUAAUUAGGUAGGGAUAUUUUAGAUAAUAUCUUUUAACAAUAUCAUUAAGACUUUUUAGAUUAAGUAAAAAGAUAAAAAAAAUUGGCUUAAUAACUUAAUGACUCAAUGACUUAAUGACUAAAACUUUUCAUUGAGUUGAAAAAAAUGGACUUAAUAGCUUAAUUAAUUAAAAUUAAGUCAAGUAAGUUAUUAGGUCAAAAAAACAAAUAGCCUCUUAGAUAGUAUUCAAAUUUAGAAAUUGAAUUUCUGUUGUACAUAGAGGAAAAAUUUACUGUGUUUAUUAGCUGAGGCUUAACAAUCUGAAAAGUCAAGUAAACAUUACUAGUAGUUUAUUCUUAUGGAAAUUGGAACUGUAUUCAGAAUGAUGUUGCGGCUACUAAAAGGUUCUAUUAUGUUUUUCAUCAUUUUGUUUCCGUGAAGAUGGAAAAUGAACUCAUUUGGUUUUUGUGAUGUUUACUGAUUCUGCUUGUAAGAAGGGGAAAAAAAACUAGUUUGCAUGAGAAAUUGUAAUACCCAAAUUCUCAUAAGGAUUUUUUAGCCAUUUCCAAGCCUUAAUAGUGAGAAUUUAUAAAUAAAUCAAGGUAUUAGAAGCAUAAGCAUGGAUUAAAGAAAGGAACCAUUCAUACACUGGUUAUUAGAGCAGUUUAAUAUGUGAUGUUUGUCAAUUUCUUUAGGAAUUUUUCUCUUAGAAACCAAAAACAAUCUUUAAGUCAACAGUUCGAAAACUUUCCUUUUUUUCAAAUGGGUGGUUCUUGUUCAUAUGCCUGGGAUUCAGCGUCUAUAAAUAUAUUCUCAAAAAGCAGCAAGCUGCAGAGUUAUUUUACUUUAUUCCGAAUUUUUUUAUAUAAUAUUUAAAAUUUUCUUCUAGCAGGCAUAGACUAGGAAAAUCCCCUUCAAAUCUUAUAAAUCAAAGCUGGGAUUCAGGUGUGACCUGUGCACGACUAAAAAAAGAGAACUGAGCAUGAAUGGCUUCUGUCAAUUUCAAACCUGCCUUCAUUUGAUUUGGAAAUAACUUUUUGUAAUGCUCCUGUACGUCAAUGAUGCAGUCUGUCCUAAGUUUGCAACCCCAUGUUAGUCCAUGGUGUAUGCUUCAAAAAUAAAUUUUAGGUUGUUUCUUUAAACUCUAUUCCAUGUUAGCAAUCUUUUGUCAUGUCACUUAUUUACUGUACGUUUCUUAAACAGGAAAACGGGGUGUAACAAAUUGGAAAUAGUUAUGUCACAUGUUCGACUUUUGGAGCAAACUGUGAAGGGCAGCACAUUGGUACGACAGCGUGAUGGUUGAUCACUCUUUUCCCCUAGCCACCUCAAUAAUAGCAAGUGGUAGGCCCAGUAGUUUACAGUGAGCCGUGAGCCGUGUCAUGCACCGCUUGGAGAAAAGGAAAAAAAAAAAAGAAGCCAAACGUGGCAACCUUCAAAAGCACUUGGUCAUGCAUGCUUGAAGCGGUGGCAUAUAUAUAUAUAUAAAAUGCAACCUUUUGAUAAUUGCUUCAUUUACCAAAUUGGAGAACCGAGAGCAAAAACAGAGCAAGACCGAGAGCAGAAAAGAAGAGAAACCGAGAGAAAAGAGAAGAGAAAAGAGAAGAAAAAGAAAAAGAAAAGAAAGGAAGAAAAGGAAGAUGCCGAGAGUGGGGAAGAGAGAAAUUGAAAGGAAAAGUUACUGAAAAAUAGAAUUGAAUAGUUAGAUUAAAAUCUAGUAACUUAGUGGGUAAUAGAUUUAUGAAGUUUGAACAAUUAUGUUAUAGUUUACAUGACACACAUAAGUUUUAUAAUAGUUCUAAAAGUAAUUUUCUAAUCCUGUAUUUUAGGAGGAACUCGAGAAUCCGAGAACGCACAAGAGCUCCAACGAACCCCAAAGCGAAACAUGAUUUAUGAGUGGACACUAUUAAUAUUAUUAUAGAUUCCGUGAAAUAUUUAUAUUUGAUAUUAUGUUUUAAUAUCAUGUUAUAAUUACAUGUAUACAUAUUAUAUGUUUGAUUGAGUCAUGAGAUGUAAUUGCCAGUCACCAUCUAUGUACCCUUCCUUAUAGGCUCUGCGCAUAAGUAUUGGGAAUUAGGUUACUCUACCCGUGCGAGAUAGUUUAAUUACACCGGGUAUUGAGAGGUGUUUUCCCCGCUCUACUCGUGCGAUGAUGUUCCCGAAAAAUAUUGAGAGUUAUUCCCCUGGGUACUAUUUGGUGCAACUUAUGAUGUAUGUAUGUAUGAAUUUCAUAUCUGCUGAUGUAUGAUAUUCAGUGUGGAGUUAUGUCGCAUGAUUAUGUAUAAGCAUUAGUACACAUAUGUUAUUAUUAUUAUUAUUAUUAUUAUUAUUAUUAUUAUUAUUAUUAUUAUUAUUAAUAUAUAUAAUUACAUCCACUCACUGAGCCGCAAGUGCACUAUUUUCUUAUUUACCCACUUCCUUCCAGGUUUCCGCAGGAUUUCGUGCAGACCAAUUUCUAGUCAGUUGAGGUUGGGUCACAAGACGCAUUACUGAAUAACUUGCAUUUUGAGCACAUUUAUGUUGCUUAUGUUUAUAUAGUUUCAGUGUAAGUAUGUAUAGUAAGACAUGAACUGUGCAAGUUUUGAAUGUAUAUUUUCGGAUGAGACAUAGGGGUUAUUAUGUGCUUAUAUCAGAGACCAUGUUUAUAUAUGUAUAUAUUCAUGAAUUAAAUUUGUGCCAUGAGUUUUAGUAUUAGUCCACACGAUUCACCUCAAAUUCGACAUGUAGGUCGGGGUGGGUCGUGUCAAGCCGCCUGAUAUUAUUAUACUUUUUUGGGAUGGAUACCGUAAGAGCCAGCUCGCACGGUAUAGCUUGCUGUUACAGCCUUAAAACUCGAGGCACACCAAUGCUUGGCUUGCGGCCUUGUGCCAAGCAUAAUGAGGCAGCGGACGUGCGAGAAAACAAGGCAAGUCUGCAUGCGGGCUGGGGCGUGGCAGCAUGCGAGAUAUGUGCAAGGCAGCGCACAAGUGCUUCGAGGGUAUAGCGCGCACACAAAUGCGCACGCUGAUGGGCAGCGGGCGAGCGUAAGCAGUCCCAAGCAGCAUGCGCGCACACAAAGCGUGCCAGGCAGCGCGCACGCGCACGCUAACGGAUAGCGGACAGGCGCGCCAAUGGAGUGCACAUGCACAGAACAUGUGCCACACACAAGCAUCAGGCCAAGGGGAUUGUUGGAGCAAUUCUUAGUGGCGGCGGCCCGCCACUACAUGGGCACUACCUAAAAUGGGGAUCUUGUCUAAGUGGGGAUGGUCCGCCACUAUUCAAUGUAUCCUAAAUAAUAGUGUAUGGGCAAAGCACUUAGGUAGUGGGCUUAUUUGUUUAUGUGUGCUGGUGGCAAAUAAGGCAUGGGUUGGGAAUACUCUAUACUAUCCUAGUAAGUGGGGUUGUCACUUACAGUGAGUGGUAUUCUCCAAGCACUCUUGUUGGAAGCUAUUUGUAGUUCCUUGUUCUUGAUUAAUAAGAAAAGGUUUGAAGUCGGUGCUUCCGUAAAUGUCGUGUGCCUUGUGUUUGUGUUUCGUUUGUUGUAUCGUUGAAAAUCUUGGGGUGUGUUGCACACACAUAGCCUCCGUUGCGAAUUGUCGAGUGGCUGGCUAAGCGGGAAACUUAGCGCCAUCACGGGCUUGCCGCAUCGAAGAAAAUAGCCUUGUGACACUUGCCAUGAUUGACAUGGUUCCAGUUAGCACCUGGGUGGUUCGAACUAACUUAUUCAUCUUCCCCAAACCAAAUUAUGAAUAAACUCACUAUUUUAAGGAGGAAAACUUCAUUUAGGUAGUUGUCUGAGCUCCUCGGAAACUUUCAUAUGUAUAUUUCUUUGAGAGAUGUAUAUUUGGAUGUUAUCCACUGCUUCCUUAAAUUAUUUAGCUGCGGAAGAUGAUUAAUCGAAUAGGUUAUUUUUUAGUGCUAAGUUUACUGGCAGAGAUGGGUUGCAUAAUAAUGGGUUUUGUGGUUCAAAAAUAUAUAGAGCAUCUGGGAUACGAAAUGAAGGUAUUAAGGUGUUUUGCUUUCUUAAUUGGUAUUUUCUUGGGUUGUGGAUUUCAGUUCCUUUGCAUGAUUUUAUUUUUUAUUUUUCCCUCAAGUUAUACUUCUCCAUUUUUUUGUUAAAAAUUCCAGACCGUGGCAUUCAAUUGUUAAGUAAGGAACAUUAUCAGACAACUUCGAAUAUGUAAUAAAAACUUUAAAGAUAUGGUAACAUAUUUGAUAAUGCCUAAUAUCACGUACUUGAAAUUCCUUUAAAGAGAAGUUUUGCAUAUUGUUAUAGAGCAUUUCUUCGUCCAGGUCAUGAUAGUAGACUGAUGGUUUUAACUGAACUGGGGAGAGGAAUUGAGGGUGAAAUUUUGAAAGCAGGCAAUGGUAUUGGAGUGACAUAUCAAAAACACUGUUAGAUAAUUAAAUCACAAACUAUGUAAGGAGAGAAAGAUUUUAUUCACAAGAUGAAGAAGAUACAUCUAGUCAAGGGGACUUACAAGCCUUAUCCCUUUUGAUUUGGUAAAAUCUCGAACAAGAUUGUGAUGUGGUGAAAGUAGAAAAUGAUUGAAAAGUACAGGACCAUUUACUUGGAAAUAUAAACAAUUCAAUAAUAAAUUUUACAAACUAGACUAAAUCUUUAACAAUUGAGACACUUUCUGCAUGGUUGGUCUGGAUUCUGGACUCUCAUCCAAACAUGAAAUAGCGACUUCUAUGAUUGAUAUCAAUUUGUCCCGAAUAUUGCAUGAUGGGGUUGGAAGCCGAGGAUCCAAUAUUUCAUCAAGUGCUAUGUCCAAGUUUGAAGAUGAAGAGCAAAUUGAGGAAAUGAAAUCUCUUGGAUGCUUUCCUUUUAUCACUUCCAAUGCUAAAAUUCCAAAGCUAUACACGUCGCACUUUUCAGUAACUUUCAUUGUGUAUGCGAGCUCUGAAAGGGAAAAAUAAAAAUAAUUUUUUGUAACGUGGAAUCUAGUUAAUAGAUAUUAGUUAGUAUAUUGUACAUGUUUGAACAACAAUAUAGGUACCUGGUGCAACAUAUCCAAAUGUGCCUACAAGUUCUGUCCAAUUGGAUGAGUCUGGCUUGAGAAACUUGGCAAUUCCGAAAUCUGAAACAUGAGCUUCAUACUCCAAAUCCAACAACACAUUCUUGCUUGAUAUGUCUCGAUGAACAAUUGGAGGGAAGCAAUCGUUGUGCAAGUAAGACAAUGCAUCAGCUACACCUUUUAUCACAUUCAUUCUUUGUGUCCAGCCCAAUUCCUUUGCUGCUGCGUCAUUGCUGAGGACCAUGGCCAAGCUACCGAUUUCAAGAUAUUCAUAAACUAAAAAUGAGUGUUGGACAUGUGAACAAACGCCGUAAAAUUUCACAAUGUUACGAUGCCGUAUCUCAGUCAAUGCCUUGACUUCAUUCAUGAAUUCUUGUUGAUAUGUCAUCUCACCUGGGAGUGGCGAAUGAAAUUUCUUGACUGCAAUGAUUUCUCCAGAAGGUAGAUUAGCUUUGUAUACACUUCCUUGUCCACCUUUUCCAAUGCAGUGCUCAUCAUCAAAACCAUUCGUUGCCUAAUGAUUUCUUCGUACACGAUUUUUCCUUCAAAGGUUAACACUGAAAGAAAUCCUCGAGUACCUCUAGGGCUACUCUGUAGUGUUUGUAAGGCAUUUUUCCUUCUUCGGAAAAUAAAGAACAAUGCAAUCAAAGAAAUCAAAAGAGCAACAGUCCCUAAGAGAGGGAAUACAAUAACAACCCAAAUCUUUCUCGAAGCUGGUUUGUGUGACUUGGAUGCUUUACAAGAUUGAAAUCCUUUGAUAUCUCCACACAAUCCUUCGUUCCCUUGUAAUGCUUCCAUCAGAGCAUCGCUGAAGGCUGUGCUGUUAGGAAUCGGUCCAUGUAACUCAUUGUAGGAUAUGUCAAUAUACAAAAGACCAUUCAUUUCCUCAAAGCAUCUUGGAAUGAAAUCAGAAAGGUUAUUGUGGGAGAGGUUCAACAUUUCUAGGCUUCGCAUAUUGCAGAUUUGAGAUGGUAUUUCUUUUCCGAGAAAGUUAUGACUCAAAUCUAACUCUGAAAGAUGAAUGAGCUUCUCCAAUUUGAUUGGAAUUUCUUGAAUGAACUGAUUGGUGCUCAAGUUCAAGUAAUGCAGUUUAACCAAGUUACCAAGACUCCUUGGAAUUGAAUUGCUUAAUCUAUUCGAAGAUAAGUCAAGGUACUCGAGUUGAAUGAGUGAGCCGAGUUCUGAAGGCAGCUGUCCAAAAAGUUGAUUCCUUCUUAAGAUAAGCUUGAUAAGAGAACUAAGCUUGCCAAUUUCUGAUGGAAUCUUGCCAAUAAUAUGAUUUGCAGAAAGAUCAAUAACGUGUAAUUGAGAUGAGUCUCCAAUCUCAGGAGGUAGGCUGCCAAUAAUAUUAUUUACGGAAACAUCGAAAGUGCCUAAAUUUGGGCAUUUUCCCCAAUCAGACGAGAUUUGACCAUAAAAGUUAUUGUGGCUAAGAUCUAUGAAAGUUAACUUUGGAUGAAUACCGAAAGAUUCAGAUAUAUUACAAGUGAGAUGGUUUCUGUUGAGACGUAGUCUUAUUAGGUUUGUCAAAUUUCUCAAAUUAGGAAUUGAACCUUGUAAUUGGUUAUCGCUUAAAGUUAGCAUAGUUAAUUUCACUAGGUUUCCUAAUUCUUCAGGAAUAACACCAGAAAGUGCAUUAUCGUAAAGAGCCAAGAGAGUCAUGUGAGUUAAAUUACCCAAAGAAUGAGAGAUUGAGUUACUGAGUUUAUUGUCACCCAAUUGUAGCUCGAAAAGAGACUUUAAGUUUCCAAUUUCUCUUGGGAUUGAACCUAAAAGUGUAUUGCUAUGAAGAUACAAGAUAGCCAAGUUGGUCAAGUUACCCAAAGAAUGAGGGAUCGAGCCACUAAGUUUAUUUUCGCUUAAAUCUAGAUUGGAAAGAGACUUCAAAUUUCCUAUUUCACUUGGAAUUGAACCAGAAAGUGAAUUUUUAUAAAGAUAAAAGGCAGCCAAGUUGGUCAAGUUACCCAAAUAAUGAGGGAUUGAGCUACUGAGUUCAUUGUCAGCCAAUUCUAGACCGGAAAGAGACUUUAAGUUUCCUAUUUCACUUGGAAUUGAACCAGAAAGUGAAUUUGUAUAAAGAUACAAGGUAUCCAAGUUGGUUAAGUUACCUAAAGAAAGAGGGAUUGAGCCAUUAAGUCUAUUUUCACCUAACUCUAGAAUGGAAAGAGACUUUAAGUUUCCUAUUUCACUUGGAAUUGAACUAGAGAAUGAAUUAUUACGAAGAUACAAGGUAUCUAAGUUUGUCAAAUUACCCAAAAAAAGAGGAAUUGAGCCACAAAGUUUAUUGUUGCCCAAUGCUAGAGAGGAAAGGGACUUCAAGUUUCCUAUUUCACUUGGAAUUGAACCAGAAAGUGAAUUAUUAUGAAGAUACAAGAUAGCUAAGUUAGUCAAGUUACCCAAAGAAGGAGGGAUUGAACCUUUCAAAAAGUUUGAGGUCAAAGCAAGUUCGUUUAGAGAGCUUAAUCCCCCUACUUCAUGAGGAAUCGGGCCACUUAGUUGAUUCUUGAACAAGUGAAGGGCCUCGAUAUAACUUAGGUGGCCAAUUUGUGGUGGUAUUCUUCCAGAAAAUUGAUUAGCGGAUAAAUAAAGGAACUUGAGCAUGGAAAGG